UCAUCUUUAAUGAAGGAUAAAAAACAUUUAUAACCUUUGAAUUAACUUUGACAAAAAAACAUAAGUUUAACUAAUCUAAACUUAAAACAUCAACUAUAAACCCUAAAUCUUCAACUCUAAACCUUAAACGAUGAAACUUUCAAAUCUAAACCCUAAAACAUCAAAGUAAACCCUAAACUCUAAAUCAAAACUCAAAGCAUCAACUCUAAACCCUAAAACAUGAAACAUCAAUUCUAAACCAUAAACCCCGAAACAUCAACUCUAAACCAUAAACCCUAAACCUUCAAAUCUAAACCCUAAAACAUAAACUCUAAAUUCUAAACGUAAACCCUAAACCCUAAACACUAUAUUUUUCUAAAAUUCGAACCCUAAACCCUAAAACCAUAAACCUUCAAAUCUAAACCUUAAAACAUCAACUCUAAACCCUAAAUGUAAACCCUAAACCCAAAAACCCUAAACCUUCAAAUCUAAACUCUAAAACAUCAACUCUAGGGUUUAGGGUUUAGGGUUUACGUUUAGGGUUUAGAAUUGAAGGUUUAGGGUUUAGGGUUUAGGGUUGUAGUUUAGGGUUUAGGGUUUAGAGUUGAUGUUUUAGGGUUUAGGAUUUACGGUUUGGGUUAAGGUUUACGGUUUGAGUUUAGGGUCUAAGACUUGGGUUUAGGGUAUAUGAUUUCGGUUUAUAGUCUAUUUUUGGGUUUAAGGUAUAUAAUUUGGGUUUAAGGUCUAGGAUUAGGGUUUAGGGUAUAGGGUUUGGGUUUAGGGGUUUGAAUUUGGGUUUAGAAUUUAGGGUAUAGGGUUUGGGUUUAGGGGUUUGAACUUGGGUUUAGAAUUUAGGGUAUAGGGUUUAGAAUUUAAGAUUUAGGGUUUAGGGUUUCUCUGGAAGCGUUAACGUGUUAAAAUUAGCAUUUUUAUGUUUUGUAGUUAUUUUUUAUUUAAUUUAAUAUUUUUUAAUUAAUAAUCUAUGUGUCAUUUUGAAUAGUUUUAAAGGUUAAAGGGUGGGUGAAUUUAAACGUUAUUUAAGCAACAAAAAUCCAAUCAAACACACACAAACAAGAACAUGUUAAUUAGUUGAUAUAUUUGGGAUUAGUUAAGGAUUAUACGAUUACUGUAACAAUUAAAAAUUACGUUACAUACUUGCAAAUGAUUUUGUUGAUAUAUACUUUUCAUGGAACUGAACGUUUAAUUUUUAUUAAUAAUUACAGCCGAAGCCUCUGAAGAAUCUGGAUGGACAAUUCUGUGAGAUAUGUGGAGAUCAGAUUGGUUUAACAGUUGAAGGAGACCUGUUCGUAGCUUGCAACGAGUGUGGUUUUCCAGCGUGCAGGCCAUGCUACGAGUACGAGAGGAGAGAAGGGACGCAGAACUGUCCUCAGUGCAAGACUCGUUACAAGCGUCUCAGAGGAAGCCCAAGAGUGGAAGGAGAUGAGGAUGAAGAGGAUAUUGAUGAUAUUGAGCACGAGUUUAAUAUCGAUGAUGAACAUAACAAGCAGAAUCAUUCUGCUGAGUCCAUGCUCUAUGGGAAAAUGAGCUAUGGAAGAGGUCCUGAUGAUGAUGAGAACGGGAGAUUCCCACCUGCUAUAGCCGGUGGCCAUAGUAGACAUGUACAGAGAAAAUCCGCUUUAAAUAAAAAAAAAAUUCUUAUACAAAUAUAUAAGAUCAAGUUUGUAUAUAUAUAUUUUUUUUGUCUCUUUUGGAUUUUCUGCAGGUAAGUGGAGAGUUCCCAGUUGGAGGAGAGCAUGGGCUUCAUAAGCGUAUUCACCCAUAUCCAUCUUCUGAAGCUGGUGAGCCUCUCUUCUCAUUGUCCUCUGUAACUAGUAGUAGCACACAGACAAAAUGAUGUUGUUAACCAUAUACUUAGGUACUCAUAAUAUGUGUUUCUGUGGAUAUAAAAGUUUAUUUUGGAAACAUUAACAUACUUAUAGAAAUAACAUGGACAUUCACAGUGAUAACUAAGGUCACUUAUCAUGCAAAAAUAACCAAGGUAUGAAGCAUGUUAGCUAGGUAUUUAAUUAAUUUGGUAGUAGAUAAUGACAUAUUUUUGUAAACAAUAAUAUUAGGCUCUUACAUUGUUAGGUGAAAUUAAUCACCAGAGCCUUGUUUGAGUAAGAGCUGCUUCUGUAAUGAAACUAACUACAAGCAAAUGAAGUUAAGGUUUCUAACAACUUAAUAGGGACAUAGUUUCAUGCACAAGGACUUUAGGCUCUUAUUACAGUGUUAUAUCAAAUAAAAGCACAUGAAGUAGAUGUUUCUAACAACACUUUUCUUCUUCUUUUGGUAGCGAGUGAGAGAUGGGAUGACAAGAAGGAGGAUGGCGAGAAAGAAUGGAUGACUGGAAGCUCCAGCAAGGAAACCUUGGUCCAGAACCAGAUGAUGAUCCAGACAUGGGACUAUAAUGUCUCCACACACAUGCGUCUUAACACUUCAGUUUUGUAUGAUUCAUGCUUACAAUCUUUUGGAUUUUUGUUUGGAAAUGGCUUGCAGGAUAGACGAGGCAAGGCAGCCACUCUCGCGGAAAGUUCCCAUAGCAUCAAGCAAGAUCAAUCCAUAUACGAUGGUCAUAGUUGCUAGGCUUGUGAUUGUAGCAGUUUUUCUACGUUAUAGACUCUUGAACCCUGUGCAUGAUGCUCUGGGGUUAUGGCUAACCUCUGUGAUCUGUGAAAUAUGGUUUGCCGUCUCUUGGAUUCUUGAUCAGUUCCCCAAGCGGUUCCCUAUUGAUCGUGAGACCUAUCUAGACCGUCUCUCCCUCAGGUAAAUCUCCACACAUUCUCAAGUAGAAGCCUUAAAAUCUAAUCCCUCCGUUUCAUUUCAUAUAUUGUUUUAAGAUUUUUUUAGCUUAUUAAGAAAAUCAUUAAAAUUUUCUAUUAUAUCUCUAAUCAGUAUAUUAUUUGAUUUAAUUUUAUUAAUUAAUGAGUUAAAUGAAUAAAUAUAAAAUUGGAAAACAAGUAAACAUGCAUUGAAAAUAUAAAACUCAUAAAUUUUAAAGUCUAUAAUGACACUUGAUAUGAAAAGGAGAAAAUAUGAAAUUGGUUUAUGGAUACAACUUUUUGUUUUUGUUUGUAUAGGUACGAGAGAGAAGGUGAACCAAACAUGCUUGCCCCUGUAGAUGUCUUUGUAAGUACAGUGGACCCAAUGAAGGAGCCUCCCUUAGUCACAUCUAACACCGUGCUCUCAAUCUUGGCCAUGGACUACCCUGUUGAGAAAAUCUCCUGCUACGUCUCUGACGAUGGUGCUUCCAUGCUCACAUUCGACUCUCUCGCAGAGACCGCCGAGUUUGCAAGAAAAUGGGUUCCUUACUGUAAGAAAUUCUCCAUAGAGCCACGUGCUCCGGAGAUGUACUUCACGUUGAAAAUUGAUUAUCUCAAGGACAAAGUCCAGCCAACGUUCGUUAAAGAACGUAGAGCCAUGAAGGUAAGUGUAAUAUCACUUGAGUUCAAGUUAUGUCACCACUAAGGCUUGGUUUCUUGCAGAGAGAGUAUGAGGAGUUCAAGGUGAGGAUCAAUGCUCUUGUGGCUAAAGCCUCAAAGGUUCCUCUAGAAGGUUGGAUCAUGCCUGAUGGAACACCAUGGCCAGGGAACAACACUAAGGACCAUCCUGGUAUGAUCCAAGUCUUCCUCGGCAGCAACGGUGGAUUUGAUGUUGAAGGCCACGAGCUCCCUCGCCUUGUGUAAGUGUCACGUGAGAAGCGGCCUGGUUUCCAGCACCACAAGAAAGCUGGUGCCAUGAACGCUCUGGUUAGAGUAGCGGGAGUACUCACAAACGCUCCUUUCAUGCUCAACUUGGACUGUGAUCACUACGUUAACAACAGCAAGGCCGUGAGGGAAGCAAUGUGUUUUUUGAUGGAUCUUCAGAUUGGAAAGAAGGUUUGCUAUGUUCAGUUCCCUCAGAGGUUUGAUGGUAUCGACAGACAUGAUCGUUACGCCAACAGAAACACUGUCUUCUUUGAUGUAAGACGCAAUCUGGUCUAAGAGAUAUAGAUAUAAUCGCUUUCUUACCCUCUUGUGUGUUGUUGACAGAUCAAUAUGAAAGGUCUAGAUGGAAUCCAAGGUCCGGUUUACGUUGGUACUGGUUGUGUUUUCAAAAGAUAAGCUCUCUAUGGUUAUGAACCACCAAAGGGUCCUAAACGUCCUAAGAUGAUAAGCUGUGGUUGUUGUCCUUGUUUUGGCCGCCGGAGAAAGUCCAAGCACGAGUCUAAUGGUGACAUAGCAGGUGGUAAACUAUCCCCAAAUAAACUUAUAAUCUUGAAGUAGGUUUAGUGUAUGUGAUAAGUGUUUGUUUUAGUAGGAGCAGAGGGUGACAAGGAGCAUUUGAUGUCUGAGAUGAACUUUGAACAAAAGUUUGGGCAAUCAUCCUUGUAACCUCUACUUUGAUGGAAGAUGGUGGUGUUCCUCCAUCAUCAAGUCCUGCAGUGCUACUUACGGAGGCCAUCCAUGUCAUAAGCUGUGGUUAUGAAGACAAGACUGAGUGGGGGGGGAACUGAGGUAACUAUACUGAACCUUAAGGCCGUUCGUGAGAUUUUGGGUACUGUAGACGUUUAGUAAAAAUUCAAUAUAAAAAUUGUUUUUACAAAUAUGGGGAUUUAUGUUUAUAUAAUUUAUUUCAAUAUUUCAUUUGGUUUUGUCCAGGUCAUGUCUAACAAUUGUAACAAAGUUUUAUGUUUUCUUUGGAAAUGCAGCUGGGUUGGAUCUAUGGUUCAAUCACUGAGGAUAUUUUGACUGGCUUCAAGAUGCAUUGCCGUGGCUGGAGGUCUAUUUACUGCAUGCCUAAGAGAGCUGCAUUCAAAGGCUCAGCUCCUAUUAAUCUAUCAGACAGGUUAAACCAGGUUCUGCGUUGGGCACUAGGCUCUGUUGAAAUCUUUUUCAGCCGGCACAGUCCUCUUUGGUACGGCUACAAAGGAGGCAAACUCAAAUGGCUUGAGCGUUUUGCUUACGCCAACACAACAAUCUACCCUUUCACAUCUAUUCCACUUCUUGCCUACUGUAUUCUUCCAGCUAUCUGUCUCCUUACUGACAAGUUCAUCAUGCCACCGGUUAGUAUACUACUCCAUCUGUUUCAUAUUAAGUAUCGUUGUAGAACAAUUUAUUUUAUAAAAUAAGUGUCGUUUUAGUAAAUAAUGGCAAAACUAAACAUUUAACUCUUUUAUUAAUUAGCAUGAACAAAUCUAGAACCACAUCUAAUUUGAAACGGACUGAAUAUUUGAUAAAAACGUAUAGAAAACUGCUUUAACUUUGCUUACUAUCUGUUUUUCUCAGAUAAGCACGUUUGCUAGUCUCUUCUUCAUUGCAUUGUUUGGUUCCAUCAUUGCAACGGGGAUCUUGGAGCUGAGAUGGAGUGGAGUGAGCAUUGAAGAAUGGUGGAGAAACGAGCAGUUCUGGGUCAUUGGAGGAAUCUCAGCUCAUCUCUUUGCGGUUGUCCAGGGACUCCUCAAGAUCUUAGUCAGGCAUCGACACAAACUUCACAGUCACGUCAAAGGCAACGGAUGACGACGACUUUGGAGAGCUUUACGCGUUCAAAUGGACAACUCUGCUUAUCCCUCCGACAACGGUCUUGAUCAUAAACAUUGUGGGAGUUGUUGCUGGCAUCUCAGAUGCUAUCAACAAUGGGUAUCAAUCUUGGGGACCUCUGUUUGGUAAACUCUUCUUCUCCUUUUAGGUAAUUGCUCAUCUCUACCCGUUCCUUAAAGGUUUGAUGGGGAGGCAGAACAGAACGCCGACGAUUGUGGUGAUUUGGUCUAUUUUGUUGGCUUCUAUCUUCUCUUUACUUUGGGUGAGGAUUGAUCCUUUUGUGAUGAAGACUAAAGGACCUGACACUUCCAUGUGUGGCAUCAACUGCUGAAGUAAAAAUCAAUUUCUUUUUCUUCUGAAACUUUUAUGUACUUUGUCCAGAGUGUUUUCACUUCUCUUUUCGGAUUUGAACAUCGAUUUCAACUUCUUUAUUUUCUGCAAAAUCAGUAAAGACACUGCACUGCAAUCAGAAUUUCUACUAUAUAGAGAAGUACAUAAUCACAAUGAUCCUGAGAACAUAACAAUGACUAGAACAGCAAACAAACCUUGAAGACAUCAGGCAAACGAAGCAAGCAUCCUCUCAGAAAUUUAUCAAGAAAGAAGUCCUGAUGGUGUAUCACCUGUAAGACGGACGAACAUUGUUCAAUCAAGAAUGUUUUCCCUACAACUAUAACAAAGCAGAUCUCUAACCUUACCUCAUCUACACUCCUGGUAGUCUAUCAUGCAUCACAAGCCAAUUUGGUUCGAGAACCUAAAGAGACAUUCCACAUAAAUGCAAGCCAAUGCAACAUUGGAAGAAAUUCAAGAGCCAAAAAUGCGCUAAAUGAAAAACUAAAAUCAUCUCAUAAAUCAUUUCGUCUCUGAAUAAUCUUGGUGUAAUUUCUCUCACCUGUUCACUGAUAGUGUAAAACUUCCAUAAUCUGUAACUCAAGAUUUCUUAAGUAUCUUGAAAUACACAUCUCUUGAAAUACAUAGUUGCAAGAAGUGCCUAAUUCUUAAAUAUGAUUCUUAAAGGACCGAGCAAAUAUCCGGAAUUUCAAAGAUAUUUGUGAUCAGCUCUGCUUCAGAUUCGAUUCAAUCUAUAAAUUUUCGAAGUGCUCCGGAAAUCUGAAAAAUAAGUAUCUUUUACCAGAUAUCAGAAUUGUUCCGUAAAAAUAAUAAAAAAUAAAAAAGUUUAAAAUAAUAUAAAUAAUAAUAUUUUAUUACCAUUUUUUAAAAUGCUACAUACUUUUAAUGGCGAAUAAAAAAUAUUAUAAAAAUUAUACAAUUUACAUAUAUAGUUUUAUAUAUAUGUACAUAUAUGUACAUAAUGGAUUGGUCGGAUAUUCAUUUUUUAAAGUUGGAAUUUGUGAUUUAUUCCAUCUUUGACAGAUAAUAAAUUUUAGUAUUCAAAAUUAUUGAUAUUCUUAUUUUUAGAUCUAAUCGAAAUAAAUAAUGAAUCAUAUCAAUUUUACGGAUAUUUUGUUAAGACCUAAUUAAUUCUUCUACACUGCAGAGAUAUCUGGAUUCAGUAUACAGUGUGUAUGUGAGCAAUUGUAGAUGUCAGUCUUCCAGAGACUUAUAAUGUCAGUCUUCCAGAGACUUAUACCGCAAAAUCAGUAAAUCACUAUGGAAAAUAGGCUCGACAAAUUGUGUAGAAACUUCGUACAAUUGUCGCAUCCAGAAAAAGUCAAAUUAACUGCUCACUACGCAACAAGUCAAGUCCUCGUCACGUGGAUCUGCUGUAGCCCCUGUAGUGCGCAGUAGGCCUGGAAAUUUUAUCUGAGAUUCGGAUUCGAUCCGAAAUUCAAUCCGAGAUUCGAUCCGGAUCCGAUCCGAGAUUCGAUCCGGAUCCGAUCCGAAAAUCCGAAUAUCCGGAGGGACUGAAUCCGGAUCCAGAUAAUAAAAUGUUGGAUGGAUAUCUUAAUUCAUUGGUCUAAACAUUCGGAUCCGUAAGUUUUAUUAAUAAAUAUUUCAAAAAUAGUAAAAUCUAUAUAUAAAAAUUAAUUUUAUUUAAUAUAUUUUCAUUUUUAUAAUAGUAUAUGUAAAUUUUAUGUAAAUUUUGUAAUAUUAUACAUAGAAAUAAUUAAAAAACAUUCUAUAUAUUUUUAAAAUUUUGUUCAUAUUUUAUAUAUAUUAAUAUUAUUUUUUAUUUAUUUUAAGAAUCCAAAUCUGGAUCUGGAUAUCCACUGGAUAUUACAAUUUUUAGAAGGAUAUCCGACACCCGGAUCCGGAUAAGGAUAGUAAAAUUAUGGAUCCUCCGGAUAAGAAUCCGGAUCCGGAUACCUUAAAAUUGUCCGGUUACCCGAUCCUUCCCAGACCUAGUGAUGGAUGUUUUGCUUUAAAAUAGUUAAUUUAAUAAGAUUUAAAAUUAAAUACAUCAAUUAAAUAUGAAAACGAAUCUGAUGUUUUGAAAAUUUAUGGUACUUAGAUUUGGAUCCACACUUUUUUAAAUUCAAAAAUUAUUAUUAUUAUCCGGGUUGCUAAUAUUUGAAAAUUUGAUCUAGAUCCACUCUAAAAUUAAUUAAAAUAUCAUAUAAGAUUAUCUCAAGCUUAUUUAUACAAAUAUUUUAGAACAUAUUUUAUGGAUAUUUAAAUAUAGUUAUUCUACAUUUAUGAAUAAAUUUUUAUUUUAGUGAUAUUUAAAAGUUACAUAACUACAUAUUUAUAAGGAAUAUCAGUUAUAGAAAUGAAUUCAAUCAAGGAUUUUUUUUUGCAAAAUUGACUCAAAACUCAAACGGCUGCACUUUUUGUCGCAUUCGUGGUGGCAUCGGAUCGUCUCUUUUGCUGGAAGUAUAAAAUAUUAAAAGGGAUUUACGUAAAUGGAUGGUAUGGGAGACUAAGAAGAAAAUACUCACGGGUGGGCUUGACGCAGCCGGUGGUGCAACUGUCGAUGCAGUUUACUUGAGCCUCCGUUACCUUCACCAUAUCCAAGGUGGAAGACAAAGCCACCAGAAUCAUAAGAGCCGCUACUAUAGUCACUUGUGUCUUCAUCGUUCUCUCUCUCUCAAUUUCUUCUCUCUUUUCUAGUUUCUCUUUUGUAUGUGGGUAUAUAUAAAAAUGUCCCCGUUGCCAGGUUUGACCGAUAGUUUAUUUGCACGUGUCAUGAUUCUCUCCUAGUGUUUUUCCGUACACAUUCUCACAUGUACACGUUACGUUGAAAUAUUUUAGCAAAAAUUUUAGCUACUGCUCUUUUUAGUUUGGACUUCUAGUUACAGGUAACGAUCAACCCACGGACAAUUUUUUUUGAUAAUUCUGGUAUCUGGGCAGCCACAUUCCCAACUAUCCCCUCGAAAAGGGUCCAGCGCCCCAACGGAAGGGAUGUUAAAUCCGUUGUGGCCAAGACUCGAACCCGGGUGGCGGGCAGUACAGCUGUACCUCCUUUACCACCAAGCUACGAACGCUUGGUUAAAUAAAUAAUAUAAUAAUAAUAAUAAUAAUAAUAAUAAUAAUAAUAAUAUAAUAAAUAAAACUGUAUUGCGCACUAGUAGCGUAUUAAGCACUCUCGCUCGCAGUGGGCAAACGAGUUUUAUGCUCGUAUGCCUGUAAGCUUUUUUUUAUGGUUCAGACUUUGCUUGGGAAUUCAAGCGAGAAGAAUUCAAGAGAGAAUAUGGAGAAUCCCCAUAUGUUUUUGUUGGUGGCACUGAUAUCAGCUUCCUCUAUCGUUCAACUUGUUCAAGCCCAAACAGGUAUCCACACUGUAAUGAACAAAUUUUUCAAUGUAAAGUUUUGAGGUCCUAAGAGGCGAACUAAAUAAUAAAAACUUUUCAAUGUAAAGUUUAAAUAAAUAUAAUAUACUUAUAAACAGAUAAAAAAGAAAAUGAAAUCAGCUUAAAAGACAAAUGUAUAAUAUACUUUUAAAAUUUCAAUAAUUAUGUUAAUAAAUUUUCGUAGUCCAGAUUUCUGGACAAUUUUUGUUGUUGUUGGUUGGUAUUCUUGUAAGCCAUUACAAUAAUUAAUAAACAAUAUAAAUCAGCAAUAUCAUAAAUGAAUCUAUUCUAUAGCUGAAUUAGUGUCAAAUGUUAAUUAACAAAAAGGAUUAAGAUGUAUUCAUUGUUUAUUUUUAAAAUAUAGAUAAAAAGCCAUAAGAAGAAGGCUUACCAGUUAAAGAGAAAGAAAAAUAUCAGUGUAGAGAAAGAAAAACGAUGGACCCGACCAAAAUUUUAAAAUUCAUGAGCCCCAGAAAACUUUAUAUAUUUGGGGUAUGUGACAAAUGUUUUUCUUUAAAUGAAAUUUCAAAUUAUUGAUCUAUAAAAAGGAAUUAUAUUUACGAAAGAAUAGAAACUAUAUAGAAUGAACUGUAUGAUGUGGACAAAUAGAAAUGUUUCACCAAAGUUUAGAGUGUGUGCUGAAACCAUAUUCAGAGUAAACCUGCAUGUUUGUUCCUCCGUUUUGUAUUUCAAAGAGAUAAAUCCUAUUUCUUCUUUUUGGUGUUGUUCGUUUGUUCAUUUUUCAUUUUCAUUUAGUUAAUUUAUUUAGAUAAUUUAUCCAACUGAUCUAUUUUGAUGUUGUUCAGAACUAUUAAUUUUUUCGUCCAUAGAGUUCAUUUAAAUGGAUCAUCUAAAUGAAUUUAUGUUCGUUUACUCAUCUCUCUUUUCAUCUAGAUUAGUUUAGUAUACAAAUGACUUAUAUAUAUACUUUUACUUUGAUUUAAUUAUAUUUUAAUUUUAUGUUUAACUAUAUUAUUUUUUAUUAUUUAUCUAAAAUAUAGUUAAAACUAAAUAAUUUUUAAUUAGUUUUGAUUUUGUGGUUUGGCUGAAAAUAUAAUUUACUAUUUUAAAUAUAUGAUUUUCAGUUUUGUUAGGAAAAUGUGAUUUUACAAUCAGAAAAUAUAAUUUUGCAGUUCUUAAUAAAAAUGUGAUUUUAUGAUUUUGGUGGAAAGUGUGAUUUUGAGGUUGUUGUGGAAAUGUGAUUUUAUAGUUUUGGCUUGAAAUGUAGUUUUACAGUUUUGGUGAUUUAAGUGGUUUUUGGCUAGAAAUUUAAUUUACAGUUUUGACGAAAAUAUGAUUUUAAAGUUUGGCACGAAAAUGAGAUUAUGGCGAAAAAUGUGAUUUUAACGUUUUCGUAGGAAAAUAUAUUUUUGUGGUUUGGUAGAAUAUGUGUUAUGGUUUUGGCUAUGUGAUUUGGCGGUUUUGGUGAGAAAGUACAUGUUUGAGUUUUGGUGAAAAAUGUAAUUUUAUAUUUUUGGCGGAAAAAUAUGAUUUUGAAAAAAAAUAUUUUUGCGAAAAAUGAUAUUUUAGCAGAAUAUUAUGAUUUUUUUUUGAAAAUGAGAUUUUAGCGAAAUAAUAUGAUUUUUCGUUAAGGAAAGGAGGAAUUGACAUAUGGUUUCGGCGGAAAAUAUAAUUUAUAUCAUAAUUAUUCAUUUGUCUAAACUAGAUUUAAAUAUUUUAUUUGGACAAAGGUAAAUUUAUUAGUUGCUAUUUUCUAAGAUGCACCAAUUAGAUUCAUUUAAAUGAAUUAUUUGGUUAAAUCUCAUUUUAGAUUAAAAAUUUUAUACUUAUUUGGAUAGAUCAUUUGGAUGAUGCUCAUUUUAAACAGAGAAAAAAACAUCAAUUCAUAUUUUCAUUCAAAUGGACCAUCUAAAUAAACAAACGAACUCUCUUAUGCUGUAACUGAUACAUAUAAAAUGGACUUGUGGAAUAAAAAAGAAUAGAAUAAAAGAAUGGAAUAAAAGAAUGGAAUAUGAAAAAAUGGAAUAAACAUUUAUUUCAUUCAUGACAAAUGGUAAAAAAAUUGUGGAAUGAAUAGAAUAGAGCAUUUACACAUUAUUCCAUUCAAAAAUACAAAAGAACAUUAACUCAAAAGAUACGGCGGUGGGUAUAGGACAGGAAAAAAAAUGUAUUGGCCGUAAAGUAUAUUGGUUGAGCAGGGUGUAUAAAUUCGCUGCUAGGAACUAUUUUGAACUAUUACCUUAACGGUGUUCAAUAUGGCAAAACCGAACCGUACCGAACCGAACCGUACCGAAAUAGAUAAUAUGGUUUGGAUUUAGUAUAUAUCAUACAAACCGAAUGGAUAUGAUUUUUAAAAAAUUGUAGGAUUUGGAUAUGGUUCGGUAUAUAACCGAUAAAACCGAAUAAACCGAAUAAAACCGAUAAAAAAAUAGAAACAUGUAAAUAUGUAUAUAUUUUAUAACAACGUAUGAAAAUCAUAAGUUAAUUUUUUUGCUAAUAACUAUUACCAUAUUUUUUACAGUAAUAAAAUAGUCAUGAUUUGUAAAACACUUGAACUAUAAUUAAAUAACAAUUCAUCGCAAACAUGCUUCUUAUUUUCUUAGUCUUCUUUUGAUCUUUUUGCUUUAAUUUAGCAUUGACUAAAUUGAAAUAAAGAUUAUAAAUUUGAUGAUAACAAUUAGUGGAAAUUCUUCACAAUUUUUUUAUCUAUAAACGAAUAGAGUUUCGUGUUUAAUAUAAGAAACAUGACUUUGAUGAACGCUAAAUAUGAAAGAAUAUAAUAACUUAUUUUUGUGCUUCGUGCUUCUGUUUUAUUUUUUGUUUUUUAUUUUUAUUAUCAAAAUUUUGAGCUUUAAUUUUAAUUAUUUUAUUAGAUGAUAGAAACAUUUUUUAUUUUUGUUCAUUUAUUUAAACUUAUAAUCACAAGACUCUAAAAUUCAUAUAAUAUGAUCCCAAAAUAAAAAAUUAUGUUUUUUGGUAUAAAACCAAAUAAACCAAAAACCGACAGUAUAUAAAUCGAACCGAACCGAAGUAAAUAUGGAUUUAGAAAAGUAGUUAUAUUUUACUAACCGAAAUACCGAAAAACCGAAAAAACCGAACCGAAACCGAACCGAUAUCCGGAUUGAAUAUUAACAUCUAUAAAUUUCGGCAGGGUUCAUUAGUUUGGAUUGCGGGUUAUCCCCGGAUGAACAGUCACCUUACAUUGAGCUGGAAACUGGAUUACAGUUUUCAUCAGACGCAAGCUUCGUCAAAAGUGGGGAAAUUGGUAGAAUUGAUGCAAGUCUAGAGUCGAAGUACACAAAGCCACAGACGACGUUGAGAUACUUUCCAGAUGGAAUGCGAAACUGUUAUAACCUUAGUGUGCGUCAGGGAACAUGUUAUUUGAUAAGAGUUACAAGCAACUAUGGGAAUUACGAUGGUUUUAACGUUUCUCCUAGAUUUGAUUUGUACAUAGGCCUUAACUUCUGGGUAACUAUGGAUCUGGAGAGGCAUAUAAAUCGUGAUUCAACGGAAGAGAUCAUUCACAUAUAUCAAACUCAAACUCAUUGGAUGUAUGUCUUAUUAAGACAGGGCCAUCCACGCCAAUCAUAUCGGCCUUGGAACUAAGGUCUCUAGGGAAUGAAAUUUACAUCUCUGAUACAGGUUCCAUGAAACGAAUACAGAGGUCAUACCUAAGUGAAUCAACAAAAGUUAUUCGGUAAUGAUAUUAUGGCUUUUUAUUCGUUCAAUUCUGCACGGUUGAUGAUACAAGAUUUUGGUCAGUGCAGGUACCCAAGUGACAUUUACGACCGAAUAUGGGUUCCGUACUUUGAGCCGGAAUGGAGGCAAAUUUCCACAACUAUCAAACUGAACAACUCCAAUUAUUAUUUUGUGCCGCAGGAUGUGCUCAUGACCGCAGCAAUACCUGCAAAUGUUAGUGCACGAUUGAGUUUUACCAAGGAUCUUGAGUUCCCUAAUGAAAAACUUUACAUGUACUUCCACUUCUCUGGGGUCCAAGCCUUUCAGGCCAACCAGACUAGAGAGUUCAGCAUUUUGUGGAACGGAGAACUUAUUUAUUCCCCUAUGAGUCUAGAAUAUCUACAGGUCGACACUCUCUUCAAGAUGACACCUUCUCUUUGUGAAGUAGGGAAAUGCUUAUUAGAGCUUGAAAGACUUAAGAACUCAACUCUCCCACCUCUACUUUCUGCCAUCGAAGUUUUUGCUGUGGUCAACUUUACACAGUCUGAAACAAACAAAGAUGAUGGUACGUUUAUUAAUUGAUAACCAAAAGUAAUUUAUGGGGAGUAUGGUAUUAAUGAAAUAUUCAUAACAUCUUAUGUGCUAAAAUCCAACGCGUCUGUAAAUUUGAUGACAGUGAUUGCUAUCCAAAACAUCAAGACCACCCAUGGAUUGAGUAGAAUCUCAUGGCAAGGAGAUCCGUGUGUCCCUCCACAGUUUUUAUGGGAUGGUCUAACUUGCGACAGCUUCAAUGUGUCUAUGCCACCAAGAAUCACUUCCUUGUGAGAUCUCUAAAUGACAACCCUCAUUAGAUGACUUGUUAGAAGUUUAGAACGCAUUUCCUAACUGCAUUGUAUAUUAUUUGGACUUAAAAACAGAAAUUUGUCUUCUAGUGGGUUAACGGGAAACAUAGCAACUGGAAUUCAAAAUCUCACCCAUCUCCGAAAGCUGUAAGUAUGGUCUAUUAAUCAAUGACAAAUUUUUAUAUAUAUAUAUAUAUAUACUAUUAUUUGAAAAGUGAAUUUGCUUACUUGUCAUAUUCUCCAUGAUUUUAGCCAAUUUAAUUACUUGUCAUCUUUUCCAUGAUUUUAGGAUAAGUCAUUACUUUAAUUAAUAUUAUUAUUUAUUAUUUAUUUGAUAUAUAUAUUUAUCAUCAUAUCUAAGAUAAUUAAUAACCAUUAAACUAUUCUAUUGAUAUAUAUAUAUAUAUAUACUAUUAUUUAAAAAAAAGUAGUCUUUAAUAUAUAAUUAUCAUGAUAUUUAUCACAUUUAUUUAAUAAAUUGAUAAUAACCAUAUCUACCAAUAAUAUCGUCAUUACUUUUAUCUUAUAUUUAGUUUAUAAUUUUAGUGACUAAAAUCAUAGUCAGUUUCUCUGAUUUUUAUUUGAAAUAUUGAUCAAAUACAUAUUAUUAUAAAAUAUCUAUAUGAGUAUACUAAUUUAUCUGAAUAAAUCGGGUUUAUUUUGUUUAUUCAAUUUAAUCGUUUAAUAUACAGAACCAUAUCCAUAUAAUGUGGGUUUUUUUUAAAUAACAGUUAUUUGGUUUAUUCGGUACUACCAAAUCCAUAUUAUUUUCUUUAUUUUGGUUUGGUUUGGUUUUAAAUGGUUCGGUUUUACUAGAUUGAACAUUCUAGACUAUCGUUAUUUUGUUAAUGUUUUGUAUUUGUGAUUUUUAUAAUCCUUUCACUGCCACAUGAUUUCUUUUCAGUCAAAUACAAAUUUCAUAAUUUAAUUAUUACUAUUAGAAAAGAUUUUGAUUCAAAAUUUAUAUCACAUAAAUAAAAAUAAAAGUAUGAAACAAAAGAACAUAAUUUAAUACAUUGAUUACUAAUAUGAAUAUUAAAGACUUAUAAUUUAUAAUAAUUUGAAAUUUGUAUCUAAUUUAAUUAUUAUAUUUUGUUAAAAAGAAACAUUAGAAUUAAAAAAAUGUUAGGUAUAUAGAUAUAUUAAUCGCACAGGGUGCGGGACAUCAACUAGUAUUUAAAUGAAAAAAAAAUGAAAUAAAGAGAGGGAUGACCCGGAUCAUCGGUUUUACCUGUUUUUUCUCGAAUCCGGGUUUUAAACCAAACUGGACUCGGUUUCUUUAACGAGUCAUGGUCAAACCGGUCCGACUUGCCGAUUCGGUCUGGUUUUCAAAACACCGAUAAAAGCUUAUUUACCAGAUUGAACCAAUUAAUGUGUCACUAGUUAACCACAUAAAACCAGCAAUCUGUGGCACCGACCAAACCAUAAGCAAACCGGAUAUAUCUAAAAUAGAUAGUGCUAACUCCUCGGAUAAGUAAGGGGAUCAUGUAUUCACAAACACUCCGCACACAAACAAUUAUCACGUUUGAUUAGAAACCGAAUCUUACGCACAACAAAUUGCAUUGAAACAAUUUACUCAUAGGGUGUGAUUGAAAGGAACUUAUAGCGAUAAUGUUCCAGGGAUAAUUAUUUUUUUCUUUCAGUUCCACUUGUAACUACCAAUCAGGUGAAAAUAAGUUUUAUCUCUCUUACGCUUAGUACUGUUCAAAUAGAGGUAUGUAUUGCACUUUUUUCCCUCACUGUUUUUUAGGUGGAAAAUAAGUUACAAUCAACUUUUAUUUUUUUUCAUCUUUAUAACUUUACUAUUUUUCUUCCUAGUUACUCCAUUUCAAUUACUAUAUCAGUUACUCCAUAAUUUAUCAAUCACACCCAUAAAAUCGUUUUCAUCUUAAUAUAAGACUGAAAAAGAAAGUUUUCUACAAAGUAUAAAAUAGUAGUAAGUGCAUUUAAACAGUUCGAUGAUUAAGACAGAUCGAACUAAUAAAAUAUAAAAUGUAUAUAGUGAAAUCAGAUCGAUCAUUUUCGGGGGUGGAGCCUGAUCGAACGACGCCUAUCUGUGAAGAGAUAAUAUCACGGGAAAAUUGGAAAAAUGAGACAUUUUGAACUUUUAUUUGUCAAAAUAGGAUUUCUGAUAUUUUGGGCAAUUCUGGACAUAUUUUACCCUUUUUUUUAUGGAAAAAAUAGUAAACUGAAUUUUAAAAAUGUUAAAAAAUAUCAAAACUAUUGGAAACAUAAGUAUGACAAUAUAUAUGUUUAAAUUGUUUUUUUUUUAAAUGAAUCAUAUUUUAUUUCAUCUUCUAUCUACAGUUACAAUACUCAUUCUAGUUAUCUACUUAGUCUAGAAAUCGGCUACUAAUGUUUAUACAUAGAUAUAUCUUUGGUAUACAACGUAACCUAUCUUUUCUUAUAUAUUCUAACCAAAGCUAGGUUACGUUACAUUAUAAUCAAGAAAGAUGUAUUUCUUAUACCUUUAGCUUGAUAACGACAUAUAGCCACAAUGCGUUGAUAUACCCUAUCUAUAUUUGGAGCCAUGAUAUGGUCUGUCUUUUACCUUAUGUGGCGCCUAGGGAAGAAUAUGUUUCACAUCUACUCUACUGUAUUCUGACUUACAUAGGUUAUACAUUCUACAGGAAAUCCGAAAAAUAUGGAAACUUCCAUAAUCGGUUAAAGAUGUUUCCUAAAUGUAAACUAAAUCUUCCCUAAAUAUCUCCAAGAAUAUUUUCUCCCACGUUUUUCUCCUUCUCCCACGAUCUUUUGUCGUCGUUCUUUGUGUUUCUCUCUUCUUCAUCGACAUAAUCAUCUCUCUUUUCUCUAUCAAUACAACAUGGUUCUAAUCUAUGUCAAAUCGGGUGAAUGGAUGUGUAGUCGCGGUGAUGACUGGAGUUUCGUGGUAGACAAAGAAAGGCGUGGUCGAAUGGUAACAUUAGCAACUACUACUACGUUGAAGCAGCUCAAGAUAAUGGUGUGUGAGGAUUAUGGGGUGGACCAUAAUGCCAUUAAUGCCGAGUUCAGUUAUUCGUUGUUGAAUCAAAAAGGGAAUCCUCCUAUUAUUAUCACCAAUGAUCGGCAAGCAUCUAAUUUUGUGGGCUAUGCAAAGAGGGAAUCGUCUACUACCUUGUGUGUGAUGUUCUCUGUUUCUGGUGUAAAUCAAAAGGAACGAGUCAAUAUCGAUUUGAAUAAGGAGCCUUGUGAUUCAAGUAAUGUUGAGGAUGAAGAAGUUCCUGAGAUAAAUCGAGCAGAGUUUGUCAAGCCGUCAAAGGAGUCUUUUGUUAAAAGAACGAAUCAUGUCGCUGCUCCGAUUGGCAGUUUCACAGCGUUAUUAGGAGUAACACAUUUUUCACUAAUAAAAGUUGUGCUAGAUAUACCUUUCAAUCAAAACUUAAAAUUUGCUAUCCAAUAGUCUGUUAUACCAAUUUAAAAAUCUACUAUGUCAGAAUUUUUAUUUUCAACUGCAGAAGAAAUAAAUGUGGAAUUUUAGAUUUUUACGAGUUUACAAUCUGACUUUUGUAUUAAAAUUACAAGGCUAUGAAGUUAUUCGCAUGUUCUGGAAAAGAUAAAUAUAGCAAUAAUUCAUCUAAAAUGUUCAAAUUUAAAACCUGAAUUUAAAGGUGACCACAGUUAACACUAACAGUCACAUUUGCUUUUCAAUUACACGGUCAAAAUUAAUCAUAAAACAAAAUUCACGGAUAGCAAUAAGUAUUAACAUUUCGGUCGGCGUGUGGGGUAAUUGCUUUAUUAGUGUUAUCAUGUCACGUUUAAGCAAAUUAUUCUUGAUGUUGACAUUUGUAACUAAAAACUAAAGAAGAUAUAGCCAACUUAUUUUGUAUGCUAUAGUCUUGUUUAUCGAACUUCAUGUGAGAAUUGGAUGUCUAUUAUACGACUUAUGUUUGCUAUGUAACAAAAUUGGUUGGUCACUUGAACCAAUCGAGGGACAAAGAACUUUAAUGUGACCCGGCAAAAUGAUCACAGAGAAAAAAAUAAAUCAUUUCAUCAAAAGAAUCCUAUUUGGAAACAUGAUAGAUCUCAAAAUAAAUCAUAACCUUUUUUUUUUGAUCAAAUUAAACUUAUAUUGAAACACAGUUACUCAUCCCCAAGAGGGUUUGAUCGUAGGUAGUACAAGGCUGAUUUAGCUAAUGAAUCAGCAUGAGCAUUUGCUAAACGCGGAAUAAACUUAAAGGAGAUAGAGGUGAAAGACUGAGCCAACUGAUGGAUGUCAUGUAGGAUGCCUUUCAAAGCCACAUCUUGUCCUUGUGAGUUCAGGAGCAGGAUAAGAGCUUUUGAGUCAGAGUAAACAAUGAGACUGCUGACGUGUGACGAGACUGCAGCGUUAACCACAGCUUUAACCGCAAGUGCCUCAGCUACAAGGGCCGAGGUGACAAAGCGCCGGUGAGAUGAAGAAGACUCUGCACAGGUUCCUUCAGCGUCUCGGAGUUGCCAUCCGAGGCCGCAGUUGCCUGUUGAAGAAUCCGAAGCUGCAUCUGAGAAUGAAGACCAAGUAUAAGAAUUAACAGCUUGUUUAACGUUAGAUGAAACCACAUAUUGUGGUACAGGAGGUUUUGUGACCAUCGUCUGAGCAGCUCUCCAAGCUCUUGCAUCUUGAAUAGCUUUAAGAACAGAGUCUUUCUCAGUAAAGAUUCUGUUUUCAAAAAGGAGUUUGUUCCUAUUGGUCCACAGAAUCCAUAGGAUCCAGGGAUAUAGUGGCGUGCUUCCAAGGCCAAGAGGGGGAAGAGAUAUCAUCUUCCGGCAUCGAUCAAGUAGUUCUGAGACAGAUGAGACUCCAUGUGGGUUCGGUUUAUUGAUGCACGGGAGUAGUUCCCACACCUGGUCAGCAAAAGGACAGUGUAGUAACACGUGAAGUUCAGUUUCCAAUUCGCCACAUCGUUUGCAAGUAGCGGCAGCAUCAAUUCCUCUGUGUACCAAGACUGAACCCACAGGGAGCGCUUUGUUGUUGGCCUUCCAAAGAAAAUGUUUAAUCUUUGGUGAUGCUUCUAUCUGCCAAAUACACUUGUUCCAAUUGAAAGCUAGGUCAGAUUGAUCUCCAUUGCAGAGUUUUGCUAUAGCAUAGCCUGAUUUCGUGGAGUACACGCCUGAGGCAUUGGGCAGCCACACUCUCUCAUCUUGCAUUCCAAGGGUACUGGGAAUCAGUCUCCGGAUUGCUUCCUCGUAUUGGGGGAGGUUACUACUAAUAAGAUCAAGGUCCCAGUCUGUAGACGAUGGUUUCAUAAGUUUGUUCACCCGCCAGUUACGAUUUUCUUCAGUGGGUGGUCCCAUGAUACACAUUGGUUCAACAGUUGAUAGCCAUGGUUCCUUCCAUAUCUCCACUUCAUUCCCUGACCCUAUUGCCCAGCCUAAUCCCUUAACGAGCAAAUCACGUCCCACCAAGAGACCUCUCCAGCCAUGUGAGGCACUUGCUGGAACCUUCACGUCCAAGAAAGAAGAGUUAAUGCAAUACUUGCCUAGAACGAUUUUUGCCAGUAGGGAAGAAGGCUCCUUGAGGAUUCGCCAAGACAGUUUCGCAAGCAUUGCAUCAUUGAAUUGUGCAAUUUCACGGAACCCUAAACCGCCAGCGUUCUUCGGCUUUGCGAGUUUUUCCCACGCAAUCCAACUCAUCUUUUUUACACUAGGGGAAGCAUCCCACCAAAACCUAGUAAGGAUAGAUUGGAUUUGUUUGCACAAGGACAUGGGAAGUUUGAAACAAGACAUGGCGUAAGUCGGCAUAGCUGCUAGGACUGAUUUGAGUAGCACCAACUUCCCCGCUCCGGAGAGGAAUCUCGUUGUCCAACUAUGUGAGCGUUGUCUUAUGCGAUCCACCAGUGCCGCGAAAAUGUCUCGUUUUUUCCGACCAAAGUGCUCCGGUAAGCCUAGAUACUUGCCGACUCCUCCCUCGUUGAGAAUUUGGAACUGGUCUCUUACUCGUCGUUUCGCUUCCCCAGGUGUUUUCGAUGAAAAGGUAAUGGAGGAUUUAUCCAGAUUGAUGCAUUGACCUGAGGCGUCUCCAUACUUUUUUAGGAUCAUGAUGAGUUUCGCACAGCUUUUGUGAUCCGUCCUACUAAAAAGCAUAGUAUCAUCUGCGAACAAGAGGUGGUUGAUGGAUGGACUGUGACGAGAGACUUUGACUCCAAUAACAUCACCCUGAAGUUGGGCUUUCUUACAGAGGCCGGAUAGAACUUCCGUGCAAAGGAUAAACAAAUAUGGUGAAAGGGGAUCGCCUUGUCUGAUUCCUCGGGUCGGAUUAACUCUUCCAUGUGCCGCUCCGUUGAUGAGAUAAGAGUACGAGACAGAGGUCACACAGUUCAUGAUCCACCUGACCCACAGGUCGUGGAAACCCAGCCGCGUGAGAACAUUCCGUAAAAAGCUCCAUUCGAUGCGGUCGUAUGCUUUACUCAUGUCCGUCUUGAUAGCCAUGCUACACCGGACGGUGGCGCUUGAAUGUUGAAGAUAGUGUAGAAUCUCGUGAGUUAUAAGAACGUUAUCCGCAAUAGAUCUUCCUUUUACGAAUGCGGACUGGUGCUCUGAUAUUAGUCCGGUGAGUAGUGGCUGGAGCCGUCGUGUGAGCAUUUUGGCUAUGAUCUUGUAGUGUGUGUUGCAAAGAGCGAUAGGACGGUAGUCCGACACCUUUUUCGGGCUUGAGAAUUUUGGAAUGAGCCUUACGUGAGUUUCAUUCUGUCGCGUGUCUAGGGUUCCAGUAGUGAAGAAACUUGUGAUAUCUUCCACCACAUCAUCUCCUAUAAUGUCCCAAAAUGAUUGGUAAAAGCUGGCCGAGAAACCAUCUGGUCCCGGUGCUUUAUCAGGGUGGAUAGAGAAUAAUGCUUCUUUGAUCUCUAGUGCUGUCGGAGGAGCAAUCAAUGUAUCGUUCAUCUCUGUGGUGACCAUCGGGGAGAUCCCUUCCUCCACUACCUGAGAUGAAUCAGACAUUUGGCAUGAGAAAAUCCGAGUAAAGUACUCGGUUAUGCUCAGUACUAUCUCCUCUUCCUUGUAGACUGCAUUUCCUUCACUGUUUUCAAUUACCGAAAACUUGUUGAUAGCUCGACGACCUCGGGUAGAUGCGUGAAAAAAACUGGUGUUGCGAUCACCACUUUGGAGCCAUUGGAUACGGCUCCGUUGCCGCCAGUAGAGUUCCUCCUCUUUAUAUGCUGAUUCAAGUGUAGCCGAGAGAGAAGCUAUGAUCACCGGGUCCGGAGCCAAGCUAGAUAGAGCAGACUCUAGCUCCACUUGUGCCUUCUGGAUCGCUAGAUUGCUGUUAAGGUUUUGUUCCUUCACCCAAGCGAUGAUGCUAUGUCUGAUCUUUCCCACUCUUGUAAAAACAGAGUCAUUUGGAUCGCUUGUCCAUUGAUCAGCCACUAUCUUGCGUAUCUCAGGUUUGUCCUUCAGCCUUCUAUCAAACCUGAAUAAUCCUUUCUUCUUGCGGGUAGAGACAUCAAAGUGUACCACAAUUGGCCUGUGAUCAGACCCUUCGAAACGGAGAUACUCGCAAUGUCCAGCUGGGAAUCGUUCAAACCAAGAGCAGUUUCCCAUAGCUCGAUCCAGUCUUGAUUGAAUGAAAUAGUUGUAUCUUGUUCCUCUCCACGACAAAUGAUUCCCGGAGUGUGGAAGGUCCCAAAGUCCCAUUUGAGAAACGAAGCUCCUAAACGAGAGGAAAGAUCCUUCCCAACGAGCUGGGCCUCCAACUUUUUCCGAGUUGUCGAGGAGAUCAUUGAAAUCACCGGUUAUCAACCAGGACUCAUCUCUAUCCGCCCCAAUCUCAGUUAGUUUUCUCCAAAACUCCGGACGAUCAGAAGCAUUUGGAGCACCAUAAAUAAACGAAACAAAAGAGAAAGUUCCCCGAGCUUCUAUUCGUGUAUCAAUUAUAUUUGGGGAGGAGAAUAAGAUUUCAACCUGAAUUUCAUCUUUCCAGGAUAGGCAGAGACCUCCCGCCAAGCCCACCGGAGGGACCGUGAAGUGGUUGGUGAGGUCAGAGUUUUUGAAGAGUUUAAACAGCGCUUCAUCUUGAUUUUUAGUUUCCAUUAGGAACAGAACAGCCGGAGAGAUCCGCUUGCGGAAUUCUCCGAUACGCUGGAUCGUCAAGGGGGUCCCAAUACCUUGACAAUUCCAGCUCACGCAUGCUAAGGAAGAGGUUUUGGGGGAACCCGAAAAUCCUUCCCCUUCUUAACCGUUGGAGGAAUUAUUUUAGUGUUCAGUGCUAAUUUGCGUGUUGCAGCUGAUGUUCCUCUUCCUCCGGCCACUAUCGCAUCGAGCAUCAGUUUUCUUUUAGGAGAUGGAUGGACUUUAGUAACCCGUCGUUUCUUAAUAGCGUGGCCUUGUGCUGGGCUGUUCCCAACCUUUCUAAGGGUCUGAGAAUUCCCAACUUUCCUUUUUCCUGCAGCUUUAGCCAGUGCAGCCAGAGUCAGCUGAUUUUCCUCACUUUCUUCAGUUUCAGUUUGGAGGAGGGGGCCUAAGCGGAGUGAAACAUGGAUUCUGUCUUCGCUGAGAGUCCUGAUAGGUGAUCGUUCCGAGGGGCCCAGCCUACCCGAGUCAAAAACAUUAGAACUCGAUGGUCGAGUAAUAGAAUUUAUCACAGGGAGAUGCAUAUUUUCAUCAACUUCCUGGAGCUCCACAUUAUGGAUGUGUUUAGAGUUGGAGUUUGACUCUGAUCUUUCAUUUAGACUGGUUCUCUGCGUGUGGACCGAAAGCCUAUCCUUUGCACAGAUUCUUUCCUCGCUCUUUGAGUUGGAACCACGCGGGUCUGAGAGACGAUCUGCGAUGCUGUUUCGCCUUUGCACUGUUAUGGCAUUUGUUCCGGGGGACUGGUUCGACCUAGAUCUCUCUUCUCUUAUAGGUGAUAUCCCUGGCUUGUUAUGCAUGGGAGGUGCAAGGGGCUCCCGAGAAUGGGAGACAUAGUCAGCUGACGGUUGAUCUCGUCCUUCUCUACGGGGCGGAGUUCUUCUUGAUGAUGGGUUACUUCUGAUAGAAACAUUCCUAUCAUCAUAACGUCUCUUAUUUUCCUCAUAGCCAGAGCUCCUUUCAGAAACAAUCCUAGAGGGAUCGUUAUGAGAAGAGCUUCGAGCAUCUCUUGGGUCCGCAUAUUUGUAGUUAGACCAGCGAGCUCCCUCUCUCGAUUGUCCUUGUUGUAGACGAGUUUGUCUCCUGCCUUCCUGCCGCCUUUUGCUUUCUUCGAUUCUUUCCAAGGUGUUGUGUUGGGAGAUGCCCAACAUCCUCUGAUCUCUUCCUUGUCUAGAUGGAGGGCGAAGCUCGCAAUCUUCAUCUUCAUGUGACAGAGACUUACAGAAGAAGCAAUGUUUUUCAAGCUUCUCAUAUUCCAACUCCACUUCAACAACUUUCUUUGAAGGAAGUUCGAUGUCCAUACGCAUGAUGAGUGGUUUUAGCCCAUUGAUCUGAACUUUCAUUCUUGCCUUCUCAAAGUCACGUAGUUCAAUAGGGCCUAGGGCUGCUCCUAUGAUGUCGAAAGUUUCAUCAGUCCAGUAAUGGAGAGGAACUCCAUGGACCUUAAUCCAGAACGAGAUCGUCGCAGGGAACGAGUCCGAUACUAUCGGUUCCCAUCUCUGAAGGAUCAUCAUCCACUUCUUAAAAUGAAAAGGCGAUUUUGAGAGUAUGGCUUGAAGGUCCUGUUCCGAUUCAAACCCAAAUUGGAACAAGGACGGGCCCAAAUCUCUUCCAGUGAUUCUGCCUACCACAUUCCAAUGUUGAAGAAAGAAGUCAACCAGUGCUCUAGUCUUUUGGAUUGAGGAAUUGGUGACUCUUCCUAUGAGUGUGAAUCUGUUGCGCUCUAUGAGUUCAGAGCUAUCCGAUGCCGGGAUUCUGACAAGCGGUUUACGGAAAGGAGGACGUUCCUCUUUCCAUUUUCCUUUGUCAGCUCUUGAGUAGCGGUUCGCCAUUGGCUCGUCGGAAUAAAGUAAGAAGUUCCGCCGGUGAUAGAUACGCGAGACUACAGGGAGUAGUAAGGAUACCGUAUGACGAUGGGGACUACAAGGAUGUAGUAAAGUGAGAAACCAGUAGCUAGUGGUUUCAUCCAACCAUAAGGCUGUCGCAGUUGCAGGAGCCUAACAUGGUGGUAUGGUCGGAAUCAGCGAACGUCGGCGGUGAAAAUGGUCGGAGAAAACGGUCCCUCCGACACGGUCGGGGGAAGAACCCGGCGUGUAAAGACCAGAGAAGUCUUUUAUCCACCAGUAACUUCCUUUCCCGGUAAGCAGUUCAAAAACCUAGAGAAGAGAUUGCUGGACACUAGCCGAAAGGGGAAGGUCAACUUUGCAGACAGUCGGGAAUCUAGCGGUUAAAGCCCAAUAUCGUAAGGUGUGCCUGGGAGAGAAUUUGAACGUGCGAAUCCAUUGCGCUGUCCUAACUGUAUCCUUCUUUCUUGUUUUAUCUUUCUUUGUAUUCUUCAACUUGGUACGCCCCAUAUUAUUAUACGCACGCACUUAUGUUUUCUUGUAAAUAUCUGCAUAACUAUAAAGUUUUAAUUUGCUACGGGCAGCACUAGGGUUUAGUGCAAUAGCAGUCCUCGUUUCUCCCCCACAUUUCUCUGACACUACUAAAAUUUUAGUAUUGACAAGAAAUACUUUGGACUUCAUUCGAUUGUAAUAGCUAUUGAUAUAUGUGUGUGUGUUCUUUUGUAUAACCGAAACUCUUAGACGAGUCCAUAUCUCAGGAUUUUUUGAAAACCGAUCCAGACCCGCGGUUGAACCGGUAAAUCCCGUGACCUAGAAAAAAAACGGUUUGGAUUUUGCGAAAAAUCCAAUAUUUAGAAACCCGCAAAAAUCCGCAAAAAUCCAGUAAAACCCGGAACCCGAUACCGGUUGAAUCACUGGUUGAACCAAUAAAUAAAUUUUACUUCUUUAUUUUUUAUUUUUUAAUUAUGUUUUUAGAUUAUGUUUUAUAUUCUAAGUUUCCAAUUAACAAGUUAGGUACUGGCAAAAAAAAAAGUUAAGUUUUCCCUUUUCAGUUUUAUAUUUGUGAUUUUUAGAUUUUGAAAAAGAUUUCACUAUGCCACCUGAAGAAAAUGAAGUGAACGAUGAUAGAAAGAACCAAAAUUAGUUGAUGUGAUUUGGUGUUAGUUUAUUUUCGUUAUUGAUAAUUUAUUACAAUGAUCUUUUACUUUUGGUUUAUUUUGUAUUUGAAGUUUAAUUUAUUAACAUUAGAUAUUUAAAUAUUUAUAAAUUUUAUGUCUUGAUUUUUUUAGAUGUCAUAACUCUUACCUUAUUAGAGAAAAUUUUAAGUAGUCUAAACUAUUUUUUGAUAUUUUGUAUAUCAAAUGAAAAUAAAAAUAUAAAAACUAAAGUUAAGUAUUUUCUAAAUGUUUUUAAACAUAAAAUAUAUACAUAUCCAAACUAUUAUUUUAUGUUUUAAAAAACUUUUAGAAAAUAUUAAACUUUAGUUUCUAUAUUUUUAUUUACAUAGUAGAUAUAUUAUUAUAUAAUAAAAUUAAUUCAUUUAUUAACCCACGGUUCAUCCGCGGUCGAUCCAGUGAUCCAACAACCCGAUAAGUCGUCCGGGUUCAGUGUCCGGGUCGGGUUUAAAAACAUUGUAUUCAAUACAAGUUAGUUAAUCCGAUAGACAAGACAACUUUAUAUUUGUCUCGUUGUAGUUUUUUUUGGAUCAUCAUUAGAGAUCGAACCAUGAGGCCCUAUUAAUACAUAACACCAAUGUGUGAGAAGUUGUAGCCCAAAAAAUAAAGUAUGAACAGUUUCUUAACUUGUGUUUCAAAAAAAAAAAUAAAGUGUUUCAAAAAAAAAAAGAACAGUUUCUUAACUAGGGGAUCCCUCUUAAGUAAAGAUAAGAUGGUUAGCCUAGGGCGGUCCACACAUUUCCGUAAAUAUGUAAACAGGUACACUACAAGAAAACAGCGAUAUUCUGAAGGACAUUCCGACGGAAAAUAAAAUCCUCGGAAUAUACCGAGGAAUUUCCGAGGAAAUUCCGAGGAAACACAAAAUUGGGUUUCCUCGGAAUAUACCGACGGAAUUUCGAGGAAACUACAGUCCGUCAGAAUAUUCCGAGGAAAUUCCGAGGAAAACUGUGUUCCUCGGAAAAAACCGAUGAAUUCCGAGGAAAUAUUAUAGCCGUUGGAGAGCCGUUGGGGGAUUUUACAAAAUUCCGAGGAAAUUCCGACGAACUAGCNNNNNNNNNNNNNNNNNNNNNNNNNNNNNNNNNNNNNNNNNNNNNNNNNNNNNNNNNNNNNNNNNNNNNNNNNNNNNNNNNNNNNNNNNNNNNNNNNNNNNNNNNNNNNNNNNNNNNNNNNNNNNNNNNNNNNNNNNNNNNNNNNNNNNNNNNNNNNNNNNNNNNNNNNNNNNNNNNNNNNNNNNNNNNNNNNNNNNNNNNNNNNNNNNNNNNNNNNNNNNNNNNNNNNNNNNNNNNNNNNNNNNNNNNNNNNNNNNNNNNNNNNNNNNNNNNNNNNNNNNNNNNNNNNNNNNNNNNNNNNNNNNNNNNNNNNNNNNNNNNNNNNNNNNNNNNNNNNNNNNNNNNNNNNNNNNNNNNNNNNNNNNNNNNNNNNNNNNNNNNNNNNNNNNNNNNNNNNNNNNNNNNNNNNNNNNNNNNNNNNNNNNNNNNNNNNNNNNNNNNNNNNNNNNNNNNNNNNNNNNNNNNNNNNNNNNNNNNNNNNNNNNNNNNNNNNNNNNNNNNNNNNNNNNNNNNNNNNNNNNNNNNNNNNNNNNNNNNNNNNNNNNNNNNNNNNNNNNNNNNNNNNNNNNNNNNNNNNNNNNNNNNNNNNNNNNNNNNNNNNNNNNNNNNNNNNNNNNNNNNNNNNNNNNNNNNNNNNNNNNNNNNNNNNNNNNNNNNNNNNNNNNNNNNNNNNNNNNNNNNNNNNNNNNNNNNNNNNNNNNNNNNNNNNNNNNNNNNNNNNNNNNNNNNNNNNNNNNNNNNNNNNNNNNNNNNNNNNNNNNNNNNNNNNNNNNNNNNGUCCAUCACGAGGGGGAAGAUCUCCAAGGAGCGCACAAUUACGCGAUCAGCUCGGACCAGGGCCGAACCACGGGUAAUACGUGGACUCGCAAUCAAGGAUAUGAUGAAAACACCUUCUGCGAGUUCCACCAGUCCCGAGGACACUCCACGACUAACUGCAAAGUCUUGGGAGCAAGGCUUGUCGCGAAGCUACUAGCUGGAAAGCUCUCGGAAGUGACCAGCGUGAAAGAUCUCAUCCUCGAGACCGAUCGCCCCCCGAAGGCGGACAGAAAUCCUCCCACGGAGAAAUCUCCUCAAAGAAACCAAUCUAGGGAUAAACGCGGCAGAAGGCCGGACGACAAGGGGAACGAUAACAAUCGUCGCAGAGUCAACAUGAUCAUUGGAGGAUCGCAAUUCUGCAACGAUACGGUUUCGGCCAUCAAGGCUUACCAGCGGAAGGCGGAGUCGAGCGCAAACUGGCCUACAUGGUCUCCUACCCGAGAUGAUCAGAAUUGCUCAAUCACCUUCACGAAGGAGGAAGACGGCGGGAUCGAUCAACCUCACUGCGAUCCGCUCGUCAUAGAUCUCGUCAUACGAGAUCUGGAAGUCGGCAGAGUACUCAUUGACACGGGAAACACGGUCAAUGUAAUCUUCCGCGAUACUCUCAAUCGGAUGAGCAUCAAACUGGGAGAAGUAACUCCAACGCCGAAACCGCUCACGGGUUUUUCAAGCGCAGUAUCGAUGACCCUCGGGUCAAUCCAGCUGCCAGUCAUGGCCAAGGAGAUCACGAAAAUCGUUGAAUUCACGGUGGUUGAUCAUCCUGUCAUCUACAAUGUGAUCAUGGGAACCCCAUGACUCAACGCCAUGUAAGCUGUUCCAUCAACGUACCACCUGGGUGUCAAAUUCCCGAACCCCAAACAGAGUCGCAGCUAUCUGGGGAUGUCAGAAACAGUCGCGACUAUGCUUCCUCGCGGAGCACAAGUUAAGGCAGAUGAUGACUUCUGCAACGGCAAAUCGCAAGCGCACGAAGAUAGAUAAAUCUUCGGCCAAAAAUGUUUCAAGAAAAGACGAUUUAACAUCGUCUGCUGACGCAAACGCUUCGGGUGUCGAAACUCAACAUGAGUCCGAAGCCGACACUACGACUCAACCGGAACAUCCGGAAGAGAACGCUGACCCGGCCACGGUCAUCACGAUCAAGGCGGUCAGCACGGCGACAAUCGCCGAAUUCUGAGAAGAUGCUCGAUUCGUACCAUACAAGUCAUAUAAGCCGAGAACCUAUCGCGGACUUUAAAUCGGUGCGAAUCAGGUAGAAAUCGCAACAGGAAAAUCGAUAGCCGGCUAGUCACCGCACAAACCUUAAAACCGAGAGUAAACCUAGGUCUUGCCCUAAACCCAUCGCAUUGGUCUCAGAGAUCUCAAAGACAUGAUAUCUAAAUGAUACGAGAUCCUAAAACAUGUCUCUCCGUUCAUAUCUCAACGUUCCCGAAAGUUCGUAAGAAUAAAUAAUUAUUACGAAAACUCACGUCUCGAACAAACCAACAGAUCGAACGCCUCAACGAAGAUAAAUGUGAGAAGACAACUCAUGUUUACUUCAAACCUACUCAGUAACUCAAACAAACAUCCAUUAUAUAUAAACUGCAUACCGGUAGGGGAUCAAAGCCACCAACGGCCACUCCCGAUAAAAAUAAAAACGGCCAGAACAGGCCCAUACAAAGUUCGAAAGGCCACACUCGGCCGCAGAAUACUAGAGAAGGGGAAAACUCCUUCCUGUCAAGCAUUCACCUCUCACAAAUCAAAGUCAAAAUUCCCGGAAAAGGAAGCUCCGCAUGCAUCCGCAGGAUCGUUCACUUCCUCAUCGCCACCGGCAAACUCGGUCGUAGUCUCUAUGGUAUCAGGAGAAACUGGGAUGGGAUCCCAGAAUCCCUGAAUCCUCCCGUCGAGUGGAGAAAUGAGCGUCUCAGCGUGAGCAUGAUCCUUCAUGCCGCCCUUCAUUAACUCCAUCUCCCUCUCGAAAAUGUAGUCAUCCGCCCGCGUCUUCCAAAGGCUCCUGCUGAGAAAAUAUUCCUUCCAUAGAAACAUCAUGAAAAAAUCCACAAUAAAUAAACACACAUAUUUGACUGAUAGGUGGUGCAUCUCUGUGUAGAUCUCUUACUAUUUUCAGUAUAUUUUUCUUCAUGCAUAUAUCUGGAAACAAAUCAUAUGAUUAUGGAUCAUACCAAUAAAUAGAGAAAGAAAAAAAAGAUAUUGAGUUAAAUUUGGCCACACCGAAUUAUUCUUACCAUGAAUGCAAGUUUGAAAUUUGACUUAUUGGUAAGACCACCAUUAAAGGGUCUGUUUUGUCAUAUUUGGUUCUUUGAUUAUAAAUUGUUCAGGUAUUCUAUAUGCAUUGGGACGAAUGCUUUUAGACAUCUCCACUAUACAGAAAGAUCAAUUCUUUACGGGUUAAGGUUUUUAAAGCGGCUGCAACGGCAGAAGCGUCCACCUCUAAACGCACAAGGAGAAGCACCAGAACUCACAAGAACAUACAUGCUACUGUUUUUUCUUCUUGUGCGUUUUGGUGUCCUUUUUCUUGUGCAUAUAGAGGUCGACCCUGCUGUCCCUUCUGCCUUUGCUGCCACUGCUGCCCCCUCCUCUUCUUCAUGUGCGUUAUGGAGGAUGAUCAAAUGCAGUAUCAUGAAUACAUGUUCUAGGAUUUUUGAUCACUAAGGAGAUGGUGCAAUGCAAUUAAUAGUUAAUGAAUAUAUCCAACAACCUUGUAUAAGUAGAUCUUUUAGUACUCCUUCCCUUUUAAUAGUAUAGAUUCCUUAAGAUUCAUUUUAUAUGAUGUUUAUGUUGAAUGCAUAAAUAUUAUUAUUAUCAUUAUUCUUUAAAAUGAUUGAAUUGUUCCUAGUUUAUAAACGAUGCUAAAAAUGAUAAGAGAGAAGAAUCAUAUAGACAAUAUUUGGAAAAUGUUCUGAAAUUCUUACAUUGAAAACACAACAUAUAUAUGAUCAAAAGAAAUGGUACAAUUAUUUUUACUAAAACAUUUUCUUAAUCCAGUGUUUAUUUAUACUUUUGUAGGAUACAGGUCACGGUGAGCACGAAAUUAAAUCUAGGUGGAUUCCUACAAAAGUAAAAGUGGAAGAGCAUGUAGUUGUUCCAAAUAUAGAUCAAAACAUUGAAAAUCCUGAUCAGUUUCUAGAGGAUUAUACAACAAACAUGGCUAUUUCUCCAAUGGAUAAAUCUAAAGCUUUAUGGGAGCGUCUAAUUCAAUGUUUAUGCAUGGUCGUGGCAGCAUAAAAUUAAUCAAGCAGAUGGCUGGGAAGACGAUUGGCGUUAGGAACAUAGAAGGAAAAGGAAGAUAACCUUAUGUUAUUAUAAAUUAAAGCUGUCAUGGUCUACGACAUUCUUCACAGGACAAGGUAUGUAUUUUCUUUCUCUUUUUUUUUCUUACAACUUUUUCUAUUGAACUGUGGAAGUGUUAUUUUUAAUUAUUAUUUUCUUCUUUGUCAUGAAGUCACCUUUACUUCUAAAAUGUUUGAGCUACAAAAUACAUGCGAUAAAAAAUAAAAAGUAUGAAUCUUUUAUUUUCUGUUAGUUUAACAUUAUUCUAAUUUAGAUAAUUCUAAAAAUCUGUACAUGUGUGCUUUAUUUUCGAAUAUUAUCAUCAAAGUUAUACACCAAUCUAUGAGCAUUGACAUGUCGUAAUUUUCUGCCUGAAUGAGCCAAGAUGUGAUGGCAAGCUUACAUUUACAGUCUCCAUUAUCAAGGAAAAUGUAUUGUGUAUAAAGGUUGUAGAUAAUUUUUUAAAAAAGGUCAAUAUGAGACAUUCAUGGAGCUUUUUCAUUUUCAUUGCCACAGUUCGUUUAAUGGAAAUGAUGAAUUAAACUGUUGCAUCCUAGGUGGCAUCAAAGAACAAUAUAGUUUUGAUAUUGGUAUUUAUCAGUCACGUUCUGAUUAUGGGAUGUCAUGACAGACACAUUUGAUAAGAUGAUAUUUUAGUAUAAUUGUAUAAAUAUUUGAUCUAUCAUGACAUCUCGAGAUGAGAGCAUUGUAUAGUUAGAGUUAAUUAGGAAAGACCCAAAAUUUUGUAUUCAGAGCAUUGUGUGAUUUCAUUAGGAUAGGAUCAUCGUAUAGUUAGAUUUAAUUAGGGUAGGACCAAAAAUAAUUAAUAGUUAAUGAAUAUAUCCAACAACCUUGUAUAAGUAGAUCUUUUAGUACUCCUUCCCUUUUAAUAGUAUAGAUUCCUUAAGAUUCAUUUUAUAUGAUGUUUAUGUUGAAUGCAUAAAUAUUAUUAUUAUCAUUAUUCUUUAAAAUGAUUGAAUUGUUCCUAGUUUAUAAACGAUGCUAAAAAUGAUAAGAGAGAAGAAUCAUAUAGACAAUAUUUGGAAAAUGUUCUGAAAUUCUUACAUUGAAAACACAACAUAUAUAUGAUCAAAAGAAAUGGUACAAUUAUUUUUACUAAAACAUUUUCUUAAUCCAGUGUUUAUUUAUACUUUUGUAGGAUACAGGUCACGGUGAGCACGAAAUUAAAUCUAGGUGGAUUCCUACAAAAGUAAAAGUGGAAGAGCAUGUAGUUGUUCCAAAUAUAGAUCAAAACAUUGAAAAUCCUGAUCAGUUUCUAGAGGAUUAUACAACAAACAUGGCUAUUUCUCCAAUGGAUAAAUCUAAAGCUUUAUGGGAGUUUCACCUAGUGAAACUGAAAUAUCACAUGCUGGAUCUGUAGCCGUGGCUAGAUUUCACCAUUCUCUAGGUGAUGGAAUGGUGAAAAAAAUGGUCUCGUGUCUCUUUUACUAGUUUGUACUCGAAAAACAUGCGACCUGAGGCAUUACCUACUUUCGUAGUCCCAAAGAAAAGCAAUGCGAGGCACGCUUGUUGGGCAUUACAUUAGUUACUUGGCUUGGUUCAUAGUAAGACUAUUGUUUCACACUUGUGUUGAAGUUUUCAAGUCCAUGGUUAUCGUAUGCUUCCCCAGAGACAAUGAAACACCUCUUAAAGAUAAACCAAGUGCUACAGUUAGCAUUAGUAAGUUUAUACAUGGAAUUAUUAGUUUGGAUGAUGUGAAAGUGGUCAAGAAUGCAAUGAACAUAGUAUGUUAUGUUGCUUAAUUAUUUUAUGAUUAUUAUAAAUUAAUAUUCUUUUAAUGGUGUUGAUUUAAUUGUCUGUUUUAAUUAGACUGUAACUGAUGUUUUUUUUCUUGGAAUAGUACAAGCUGGUCUUUCACGAUAUUGAAUAAUACUACUAGAUUCUGACAUGCCCUUUUAAGGGUGGGUAUAAUUUUUGUUUUAUAUUUUUUUUAGAAAUUUAAUUUUUAGAUUUGUGUUUUUUAGUCAUAUUUGUGUUUUUUGUAUAAUAUUUCUCUUAAAUGAUUAAUAAGAGGUUUUAAUAAUUGUAUUAAAAUAGUUGGACCAUACCUAUAUUAAUAGGUCAUGUUCAUGUUUUAAUAGAAUAGAUGCACUAAAUUAUUAUCAAACAUUAUAUUGAUUAAAGUACAUAAUCAUAUUGUUUUCUAAAAUAAUGACUUCUUUUGUAGGAAAAGGGACUGACAAAACAUAUACAAAGCUAUGUAAAAAAAGUUUAUCAUCAAUAUGAUACCUGAUUCUCAUUGCCUUUGUGAUCACAUCAUCGAGUCUCUCCAGUCCAUGAAAUUGGCUGUUUUGGAAAUGGGUUCUCACAAGCUGGAGGUUCAACUGUUGUUUCGCUCUUAAGAUAAAUCCAUGGAUAUUAGAAUUUUAAUUUCAUGAAAAAAGAUACUUUUCUUAGAAACCUCAUGAAAACAUUCACAGUAAUUUAUACACAGAUUCGAUCGGCUGAUAGUUGGUGCAACUCGACUUAGAUAUUACUCUUUUCAAUAUACUGUAUCGUUCUUAUCGUCCAGUACAUAUCUGGAAACAAAUCAUAUGGAUUAGAUCAAAAGGGAAAGAAAAAAAGCCUACAAAGUCACUAUAAGGCCACCAUAAAUAUUUUGUUAGUGUUGAAAGUGUAUAUACAUACAUGUGCAGAUAAUAAUGAGUAAAAAUAGUUAUUGAAAAUAAAAACUAUUAAAUUUAAAAAUACAAUUAAGCAACAAUAAUAUACUUUCCGCAGAAACCUCAAAAAAAUGCAUGAAUAUUGGAAUUUCAUGAGAAAAUACCAUAGAAACCUCAUGAAAACAUCCACAAUAAAUAAACACACAUAUUUGGCUGAUAAGUGGUGCAUCUCUGUGUAGAUCUCUUACUCUUUUCAGUAUAUUUUUCUUCAUGCAUAUAUCUGGAAACAAAUCAUAUGAUUAUGGAUCAUACCAAUAAAUAGAAAAAGGAAAAAAAGAUAUUGAGUUAAAUUUGGCCACACCGAAAUGAUCCUUUCCAUGAAUGCAACUUUGAAAUUUGACUUAUUGGUAAGGCCACCAUUAAGGGAUCUAUUUCGUCAUUUUUGGUUCUUUGAUUAUAAAAUUGUUCAGGUAUUCUAUAUGCAUUAGACCGAAUGCUUUUAGACAUCUCCACUAUACAGAAAGAUCAAUUCCUUACGGGUUAAAGUUUUCAAUGCGGCUGCAGCGGCAGAAGCGUUCACCUCUAAACGCACAAGGAGAAGCAGCAGAACUCACAAGAAGGCACAUACAUGCUACUGCUUUUUCUUCUUGUGCGUUCUGGUGAUUCUUCUUGUGCAUUUAGAGGUCGACCCUGCUGUCUCUUCUGCCUUUGCUGCCAAUGCUGCCCCCACCACUUCUUCAUGUACGUUCUGGAGGAUGAUCACUAUGGAGAUGGUGCAAUGGGUUUCUUGUUCAUGUGACAUGACCGCAACGUAAACUACUCUUAAUUGUGCAGUAACCUCUGAAAGUAAAUCCAAAUCUCUAACUUAUAGAUUUUUUUUAAUAGUUAUGUAUUUUCUGUAGGUUAAAUUUGCAUGAACAGAUUUUCAAUUUAUCAUCAAUUGCUUAAUAUAAAGAAAAAUCCUUAAAAGAUUGCAUGCUUAGGUUUAAUAAAUGGUUUAUAAACAUGUAUAGUUUUGCAAUGAAUUCAUCUUUUAGAAGUCUUAUCUUAUUUUUAUACGUGAUUUCUUCCUAUUCAUUUUUCUGUUUACACAUAUUUUGUUUGUUUAUGACUUUUUAAUAUCUCAUUUCUUCACUCUAUUUAUGGUUUAUAAGCAUUAUUGGUCAGUUGUUUGCUGCUAAAUAAUUUGCGUCGAUCACACUGUCUAAUUCAAUGUUUAUGCAUGGUCGUGGCAGCAUGAAGUUAAUCAAGCAGAUGGCUACUAGGAAGAAGAUUGGCGUUAGGCCCUUAACGUAGAAGGAAAAGGAAGAUAAACUUAUGUUAUUAUAUAUUAAAGCUGUUAUGGUCUACGAGCUUUAAUAUAUAUUUUUGUUCGAGCUUUAAUACAUUCUUCGAGCUUUCUCACAGGACAAGGUAUGUAUUUUUGUUCUUUUUUUUUUUCUUACAACAUUAUCUUUUGAACUGUGGAAGUGUUAUUUUUAAUUAUUAUUUUGUUUUUUGUCAUGAAGCCACCUUUACUUCUAUAAUGUUUGAGCUACAAAAUACAUGCGAUAAAAAAAAAUAAAAAGUACGAAUCUUUUAUUUUCUGUUAGUUUAUCAAUAUUGUAAUUUAGAUAAAAAUCUGUACAUGUGUGCUUUAUUUUCGAAUAUUAUCAUCAAAAUUAUAAAAUUGUAUGAAUUCUGAAACCAAAUUUAAAGUACCUAUUUUUAACCAAAAAAACAAAAUUUAUGUUGUGGAAAUUUAGAUCUUUUAUCUUCUAUUUCAUUGCUAAUAUGAAUGGCUUCUUCUCUUCUCAUGCCACACUUUUAUUUUUUUUGCGACAAAUCAAGGUGGGAAAUCAAUUUACAUCUAUAUGGAUUCUAAUAAUGAAAUACUGAAAUCCCAAGGAAAAUCUUUACAUGAUUGCUUUGUUUCAGAAAUUCAUAUCUCUCUUUGUGUUUUAUUCUAAAAAAAAUUAUUAUCAACACACAUUUUGAUAUACAGUUGUGGAAAAGAAUUGCCCAUUUUUCCCAAUGUAAUGUGGAAUCGCCAAGUUAGGCACUAUUUAAAAUCAAUCUUUCUAAUGAUAUCUUUCAUUUUUAGACAAUAAGUAACUGAAUGUUUCAUGCUCAUUUAGUGCAGCAUAUAUAUAUAUACACAUCUUGCAAAACACACAAGUGUCUUAUGUAUUUGCAGGACAUGAAACAUCAUUUGACGUUAUCACAUGUCUUGUCUGACUUUAACUCUCGGGUAAUAAAGAACAUGAGGAAAUUAAAGAUCUUUAAGAACGCAUGGUAUUUCAUGGAGGAUUAAGGCUCAUGAAUACCAUGUGUUCUUGAAGAUCUUUAAUUUCCUCGUCUGCUUCAUUACCCGAGAGUUAAACUCAAACAAGGCAUGUGAUAAUAAUGUCAAAUGAUGUUUCACGCCCUGCACAUACAUAAGAAAUUUGUGUGUUUUGCAAGAUGUAUAUAUAUAUGCUGCACUAACGAGUAUGAAAUAUUCAGAUAAUUAUUGUUUAAAAAUGAAAUAUAUGAUUAGAAAGAUAGAUUCUAAAUAGUUCCUACCUCGAACUUUGCAUAUUUCAUUGGGAAAAUGGGCAAUGAAUCUCUUCCACAACUGAAUUUUUGAAAUGUGUGUAGAUAAUGGAAUUGUCAGAAGAAAACACAAAGAGAGAUAUGAAUUUUCGAAACGAAAAAACCAUGUAAAGAUUUACCUUGGGAUUUUGGUAUUUUGUUAUUAGAAUCCAUAUAGUUGUAAAUUGAUUUCCAUCUGGAUUUGUCCUAAUAAGAAAUAAAAGUGUAGCAUAAGAAUAGAAGAGGUCAUUCAUCUUAACUAUGAAUUAUAAGAUAAAAAAAUCUACAAUUCCACAACAUAAAGUUUCUUUUGCUUUAAACUCAAUACCUAAAAUUUAGUUUCAAAAAGUUUAGGAAGAUUCAUAAAAAUUUAUGAUUUGAUGUUAAUAUUCGAAAAUAAAACACAUACAGAUUUUUAGAAUUUCGUAAAUUAGAAUAGUGAUAAACUAAUAUCAAAUAAGAGAUUCAUACUUUUUAUUUUUCCUUGCAUGUAUUUUGUAGUUCAAACACUUUGGAAGUACAGGUGGCUUCAGGAAAAAGAAAAAAAAUAGUAGUUAGUUAAAAAUAACACUUCCGCAAUUCAAUAAAAAUGUUUUAAGAAAACAAAUACCUUGUCCUGUGAGAAAGCUGGAAGAAUGUUGUAUACCAUAACAGGUUAUAUAUAUAAUAAAUAACAUAGGUUCAUCUUCUCCACUAAGGGCCUAACUCCAAUCUUCUUCCUAUCCAUUUGCUUGAUUAAUUUAAAGCUGCCACCACCAUGCAUAAACAUUGAAUUAGACAGUGUGAUCGACGCAAACUAUUUAGCACCAACAACUAACCAAUAUAUAAUCCUUAUAAACCACUUUUCAAACAAAAAAUCCUUAUAAACCAUGAAUAGAGUAAAGAACUGAGAUAUUACAAAGUGAUAAAGAAACAAAAUAUUUGUAAGCAUAAAAAUUAAUAGGAAAAAAUCUUGUAGAAAAUAAGAUAAAACUUCUAAAAGAUGAAUUCAUUGCAAAACCAUACAUGUCUAUAAACCAUUUAUGAUUUAUUAAACCUAAGCAUGCAAUAUUUAAAGGAUUUUUCUUUAUAUUAAUACACAGCAAUUGACAAAAAUUAAAAAAAAAAUAUUUCUGUAGAUUUAAUCUGCAAAUUAAAUACAUAUCUAUUAAAACAAAUCUAUAAGUUAGAGAUUUGAAUUUACUUUCACAUGUUGCUGCGCAAUUAAGAGUAGUUUUCUUUGAGCUCCUGUCACACUAACAGAAACCCAUUGCACUAUCUUCCUAGACUAUAUCUCCUAGACUAUGCAUUCGACAGCCUUAAUCCUCCAUGGUUACCUCAUUGAACAAACCUGAACAAUCGCAUCAAACAUUUCUUCGAACCCAACAAGAAAUAACAUAUUGGACCAUGAAACUUCAUAUCAUAAGCUUGCAUCAUCUGAUUCUUCUCCCUCAAUAGCGUAAAAUGCUUUGGCCUAAUGUCCCCAACAACUCCAUAUUGAUGACAAACACGUCAAAAUUUUCGUUGAAAUGAAUCUUAAAGUCAGGAAUGUUACCUGAAUCAGUCGUUGUAGCAGUACUCGUAGUAAUCGCAUUCUUCACAUCAGUUGCAAUCUUCACAUUAGUUUCAGUCCCUGCAGCAACCUUAACCACUGGCUUUGUAAUAGAUGCAUCUACAGUCUCUAUUUUUCUGCUGAUUCAAAAACACGAUUCUCCUUUGAAUCUGAGAUCAUACCGAUCAUUUUUCCAAUGUUGAGAAGAUGGUAUAGCUGCUUCGAAGGGAGAAUCUCGUCGCUGUUUUUUUUGGACAUUGGAAAAAUGGAACGUAUCAGCUAUAUCUUCUUCUCAGCAUGGGAAAAAUGAUCGGUAUGGUCUUGGAUUUUUUUGCAGAUCCCAUCGCAGUUUUUGUUGGACAACUCGACUCAAAAGUUGUGAACCCCACAAAAUUCUAUAGCUUCUCACCAUCAUCUAAAUCACUUCCAGAAUCACUCUUGAUGACCAUCUUAUUCCGCUUCAGCAAAUUUGCACAUUCUACACGUACAUGCCUCAACAUUUUAUUCAAAAAACUGUAUAACCUUUGGAGAAUUACCAAACUUUCAUCUUGUUUCAUUAUCCUUCAUGUAAUCAUCAGCCAUGAACCCAAUAGAAGAUAUUUUUUUCCAUUCCAUGAAAAGCACUUCUUGAAAGGCAACUUUUCUCUCUCCAUCAAUCUUCAGAAUCUACUUGAAAUUUUCUAGUUUUUUGAAGCAUUUUAUGUCCCCACCCAUCAAAAUCUCACCAAUGACUUAAUUGACCCGAUCUGAUACCAAUUAUAAGUGUGAAUGAGAUCAGAGUGGAGUGCAGAAAAUAAACAAGACAGAUUUUUUUUUCUUUUCAAAUUCAUUAGAAUAAGAAAACAAAUACAACCAAUUUGCUAACGCAUACAAUGUGCACAACCUCAUGAAAUAUUGUCCUUUUUUACUACAAUAAUUCUUUAGGAUAUCAAUCUUUAACUAAAACCUACCCUAGAGUCUAGAUUUCAAUUUAUCAGGAUCACUUAACCCUGAGAUACACUCCCCCGGAGUCUGACUUCCAUCUUCCAAAUCUAUGAUACUAUGUAAACAACUAUAUGAUAUAUCAUGGUUUUUAUGGAUUUUGACCAUGAUAUAAGUCAUAAUUUAGAGUACAUUAUAUAUGUUUGGAGUCGGUUAUAGAGUCUUUACAUGUAUAUGUACACUUUGGACGAAUUUGGAGACUUUGGAUCAAUGGGAGCUUAAAGAGAAUGAGAGUCAAAAAGAUCAAUUCGGAUUCAACGAAAGGAGUUGGUUUCGAUCGAUGCUUGUCACUCGACACGUGAUUUAAAGCAAGUUCCAAAAAAAUUACAAAAAAAAAAGACAGAAGUUUUCAGUAUUUUCACAUAUAUUCUAUUUUAAGCUGAUGGUAGAGCUGGGUUACACUGUUGUAUUGUGGUCAGAUAAUUGUUAUGAUAGUGGUAUGAUUCUCCAGAAGCAGAUUGGAGCAGAGGUGAGAAGAAAAUAAUGGUGGAACGAAGAAAAAGAAAAUGAGAAGAAAAGUAAAGCAAUGUGGAAGAGGCAACUUUGACGGUUUGCCGGCCUUCAGGAGAUGUUGGGUUGGGAAGCCUGAGAUACACACAUUAUAAUCAUCAGCCCAUAAAUCUAACAAAAGUAAGUCAAAACCCUAAUUCUUUCGGAUGAACUUUCUGUUGAUUCCAUUUAUUUAUGUAUUGUAUUCUAUUUGAAGAGAUUAGAGCAUGUUUAUUGUAGGUCUCUUCAGUGGCGGAUCUAGAACUAUUAUCAAUCGGGGGCACCUUAAUAACUAAUUCAUUUAGAUAAAAUAAAUUUCAUAACGAAAAAAUAUCUUACAAAUUUAUCUUAUGAGGUUCCAUUUUCUGGAAUUUUUUCAUUACUACUUCAUUUGUUACUUUCUCAAACAAUUCUUUUUCAACAAAACAAACAACACAAUCAUUUAAAAACUGAUUACUAAUCCGGUUUUGCAAGCUAGUCUUCACAAUCUUCCUCGCUGAAAAACAUCUUUCAACUGUAGCGGUGGCAACAGGUAAGGUCAAAACUAGUUUCAAAAGCCGAUAAACCUGAGGAUGUGAAAGAUGUUUUUUUUGUUUUCACCAUCAUGCAUGGAAGAUCUCCAAGAUCCUUUAAAUUAAAAAAUCUUUCAUCUUCCCGAAUAUUGUCAAUAUAGAGACCUAGUUGAUGUUCAAGAGUAAUCCGCUCGAUAGGACCAAAAUCUUCAGGAUAAAACUCAGACAAUUUCAUAACUUUUAAUUGAUCAAACUCCUGAAAUGAAUUAGUGGGGCUCAAGGAAGCAAUGCAGCCAAGUAAUUAUGUGUUUACCUCAUCAAAACGGUCAUUAUAAACUCUUGAAUCUGCAUAUCCAAUACAGUGUAAAAACACUCCACCUUGUAAUGAUGCAAGUUGGUUAUAUUUCUUUUCCUUGAAUUAUUUGAAUCAAAUUCAUCAUCCAUAACCAGGAACUCAAUCUUGUAAUUCUCACAAAAGGAAGAAACCUUAUUAAAAAGAGAUUCCCAUCUAUCAUCUCUGAUCUUGUACAAUUGUUGCUUGGUGGAUUUCACAAGUGACAUAGCAUUCAGAAUGUCCUGAUAUUUCCUUUGGAGGCCUUUGAUAAGUUAUUUGUGAUCCCAAGAAGAAGCAACAUCAACUGUAAAUAGAAAAAAAAAUCAAAGGUGUAAAAUUAUUUGAGAAGACCAUUAGCUUGGCAUCUUUUGAUACCAUCACUUCCAUCAAUUUCAACAUACUCAAGCACUUUAAUGAUAGAAGAGAACAAAUCAACCAACCGCAACAAUGUCUUAUAAUGAGAACCCCAUCGAGUUUUACCGAGUCUUUGAAGUGAAACCUCUAUGUUCAGUCCAUUUCCAGUCUUAAUUUCCCCUUUCUUAGUUCUUUCCUCAACUUUGUUCCGAUAGUCUUCUCGAACCAUAUAUUUCCUCUUACAAGAAGCUCCAACCACAUUUAACAAGACAUCAAUCUUAUCAAAGAAAUCUCCAACUUCAAAAUGUUUUUGAGCAACUGCAACGACAACUAACUGAAGUUGAUGAGCAAAACUGCACUUCAAAAUGUUUUUGAGCAACUGCAACGACAACUAACUGAAGUUGAUGAGCAAAACAAUGGACAUAAUAUGCAGAACUGCAUUCUCUCAGAAUUAGAGCUCUCAACCCAUUGAAUUCACCCUUCAUAUUACUCGCUCCAUCGUAACCUUGCCCUCUUAACUUCUUCAUACUCAAUCUAUGUUUAGCAAACAAUGAAUCAAUGGCACUCUUCAGAGAUAAAGAAGAUGUUUCUUUCACAUGAGUCAGACUAACAACGCUUUCUUUAACUAUUCCAUGUGUAUCAACAAAGCGAAAAACAAUUGCCCAUUGCUCUUUAUCAGAAACAUCUGCAGAUUCAUCCACCAAUAAACAAAAUACAUCAUGACCAACUUCUUUAAUGAUAGAUUCAAUAACUUCUUCCGCAAAGCAAUGAACUAUAUAUGUCUGAAUUUUGUGGGACACCAUCUGGUUGUUUUUGGGGUCAUUCUCUAACACAACUUGACUUACAAGCUCAUUUUGUUCUGCAGUAUAUUUCACAAGCUCCAAAAAGUUUUCCUUGUUAACUGAAUCCACUGAUUCAUCAUGACCUCGAAACGGGAGUCCUUGUCUUAACAAAUACCUACAAGCAUCAAUUGAAGCAUUCAAUCUGAUCUUGUAUUCAUUUUUAGCCGCGUCAGUAUGCUUAUAAAAAGCAUGGAUAAUUGAUUGUUCUGGUUUCUUCAUUGUUCUGGUUUCAUCAAAUAAUCAGCCCUUUUCAACGCACUAUUGUGAAAACUAUUCAUUGCUCCAACAUGAUCACGUAAUCUCUCUAUCUUGUUCCAGUCAUCAAAGCCUUUGAUCACAAAUGCAUCACUUCCACAUUUGUUUUCAGUGUAAUCUCUAAACAAGUAACACAAUAAACAAUACGCUUUAUCCUUUUUCACACUAUAUUCUAACCAAUCGUCAUAGAUAUCAAACCAAGCCGGAUUGAAUCGUCUCAGUUUACUUUGAAACAAUGUUUUAGGAAAUUCAUGUCCACGAAGUUGACAAGGACAUCUCAUUAAAUAUUUACGUCUUACCUCGUCUCUUUGAUUUGAAGGAUAUUCAGUUAUUAUUUUCCUAUCUCCAGGAUCACUAGGUAAAUUCUCCAAAUCAACUUCAGAGUCUUGUUUUUUUGGAGAAGACAAAUUAUCCUCAGAGAUUUCAGAUGUAGGUGCAAAUUUUCUUUUAGGCUUGAAGUAUUUUUCCAUCUGUAAAAAGAAAAAUUUAGCACAAUACUAUAGUCUCUAAUUUUCUAUGUUCUCACUAUUUUUUGUUACUUAAAUCACAUAAAGUAACAGUUCUGAUAUAAGAAGCAACAAUAAUUUAAGAAAGAACAUGUUACCUGUGUUACUAUUUUGUUCGUCUGUUUAGACUGUUUUUUGUGAUUAGGAGCAAGAAACUUUAAUUAAAAAAACAAAGAAGCACAAAACGAAAGACGAAGACGUGAGCACUAGGUCUACUUCUUUCAUUAAUUGUGUAUAGUUUUGAAUGAGUCUCUUAAACUGGGCUUUUAACUUUGGGCUACAAUUAUAUUGUUUUAUUGAGUAAUUCCACCAAAUUUUUCAACGGGAGCACAACAUUAAAAUAAUUAUUAUACAUAACUAACUAUAUAUAAAUUUUAUUUUUUUAAGUAGUAGGGGGCACAUGCCCCGUAGACCACCACUUACGUCUGCCCCUGACGGGAGCACAACUUUAUAUGAUCACUAAAAUAAUUAUACAUAACUAACUAUAUAUACAAUUUUUUAAAAGUAGUAGGGGGCACGUGCCCCCGUAGACCACCACUUACGUCCGCCUUGGAUCUCUUAGGUCGGGUCUUUUAGCGUAAUAUAAGAUGCGGUCUCCUAACUUUUAGUCUCUUAUCUUUAGAGAUCGUAUCUUAUAUUAGAAGACUAACCAUAUAUAUAGAGACUAUCAAAAUUUAAUUGUUGUAAAGAUUAAACUCAUAUAUAUUUAUAUACUAGGUGUUUUGUCCGCAUGUGCGGGCAUGAUCAUUUUACUAAUAAUUAAUAAUAUAUGUAUUAUGAUUUAAACAUCAUGAUAACUUAUUUUUUAUAUUCUUAAUCAUUUUAGUUCUCUUCGAUUUUUAUUUCGAUCUACGUCUUUUUAACACAAAUGAAAGCUAUAAAACUACAACACCAUAAGAGCAUAAUUACAUAUCAAAUAUUCCACAAGUAAGAAUGUGAACUUUUGGUAUCUCUUAAUCUACUUUGUAUUUUUGAACCAUAAACAUGAAUUAACUUACCAAAAAAACAUUAAAACACACAAAAUCAAAAUAAGAACAAAAUAAAUAAAAACUAAAUAAAAACUAAAGUUCGAUGAUAAUUUUGAAGAAUUUUUUUUUAAAAGAACGAAUUGAGAUAAUGACAAUAUUUCAUUGGUUUACUUGAUUGAUAUAUACAUUGACUUAUCUUAAUAUUUCAUAAGUUUACUUUUAAUAAAAGAAACAAUAGAUAAUGAUAGUUUUAUCAUUAAAGUUAAUUUAUGGUUAAUUAUAUAAUGAUAAAUCUAAUUAUUCAUUAAAAUAUAUUUACUUUUAGCUGUUUUAGAAACUAAACCAUUAAAGACAUGUUCAUAACAUGAUUACAUAGGCAAUUCUCUAAAUUUAAUAUCAAAGCAUAUUUUUUUUAUAGAUUAAACAGUAAUAAAACAUACACGUGAAAUAACUACCGAAGUAAUUCAGAAUACCUAAUUCAAAACUCCAAAUUUCAUGUAACAAAACCGAUUUGAUCAUAGUAUUUCGGACUCAGAGAAAGAAGAAAAACAUAGAACUCCAACUAUUAAAAACAAAUAUCAAAAGUACAUAAAUAUAGAUGUCAAAAAUAAUAAUCGAAACAACUUGGAAUGAAUGAGAAAAUUGAAACUAUAGACUUUAAAACAUCUUACAUCAUAUGAAAAUAAGAAUUGGUCCUAACUUUUUAAAAAUAAUUAUAAUUGUUAUUCCAAUUAGAAAGUUUGAAAUAGUUAUGUUAUUUAAAUUAAUAAAUUAAUGAUUUAAGCUAAACACUAAUAAAAAUCUUGUGAAACUUAAAAUAAUUAUAAUCAUAAUUCCAAUUAGAAAUUCGAAAUAUUUAUAUUAUUUAAAUUAAUAAAUUAAUUAGAAAUCAGAAUAUUUAUAUUAUUUAAAUUAAUAAAUUGAUGAUUUAAUCUAAAAACUUAUAAGAAUAUGACAAAUAAGCAAAAUUAGCUAAAAUCAUGGAAAAUGUGACAAAUCAGCAAAAUCACUUCAUAAAUAAUAGUAUAGAUAAAUUAAUAAAUUAAUUAGAAAUUGAAAUAUUUAUAUUAUUUAAAUUAAUAAAUUAAUGAUUUAAUCUAAAAACUUAUAAGAAUAUGACAAAUAAGCAAAAUUAGGUAAAAUCAUGGAGAAUGUGACAAAUCAGCAAAAUCACUCAUAAAUAAUAGUAUAGAUUUUUUAAUAUAAGAAAAUUCAGGGCCAAAGCUCGUAAUCCUCCCAAACCCAAAAUUAUAUCAUGUAAUAUUAGUUUCGCUUUCAAACUAGAGACAUCUGACACAGUGGCAAAAAGUUAUUUCUAACUGUAUCUAGUUUAAAAACUUUUGUUUAAUGUCAACUAUAUAUACUUGUUUGUUAAUAAUUUACCUAAAAACAAACAAAGAGCAAACUAAUCUUGUUUAUAAUGAAUAUUUGUUGCUAAAAGAAAAAUACUAAAAACUCUUUUUUGUUAGUUGAAACUAUUUUAUAAUGUAAAAAAUUAAUCAAAAAAAUAGAUAUAUUCAAAAAUUAAAAUCAGGAGAUCACUAAUCCAAUGUGUCUACUUUUCAACGUUGGUUAAAUUAACCACAACCCCGCUUUAUAAUGAUGAGCUUGAGGAUAUCAUUAACCAGCUUAUUUUUUUGCCGUGCCAAAGAGAUAACAGAAAAUACCGAAUGGACUGAAGAGUAGGGAGACAGUUUCGGUGGGUUCAAAGGGUUUGCUUUACUUGCGGAUGAAGAAUCGCGCAUCCUCCAUUUCUCUCUUUCUUACCCUAUUUUAACCCUUUCUACCCCCUCACACAUCUCCUCCAUCUCAAAACUUCCACUUUCAUCCUCGACCUUCCUUUUUAGAUUCUGAAUCUUCUUCACCAUCAGAGACUCUGUGUUUCCCUUAUUCACAUCCAUUUUCACCAUCUCAUUCCAUCGAUCCUUCAAUAUCUCUAUCGCAGAAGCAGCGUCUUGAAUGGUAGAAACAACUCCGACUACCAGAGAAUUUAUGCUCUCCCAUUGCACCACCGCAAGGGCGAGCUUUCUCCUCCCUCCUCUCUCCUCCUCCUUCACUUUUGGCUCUUGCAAGGAAUCCUGGUACUUCCGCUGCAUCGGCGUCGACCCUUGAAGCAACUCAAACUCCCAUCAAAAGUUUUAUUUUCUUUUUUUUGGCGUUUAUUGUUAAAGAUGUUGCUGUACAACAACAACAAGCAGAAGAAAACACACAAGUCCAAGAUUAACAGGUUCCUCGUUAGCAUCAGUUUCUUAGGAAGUGCUGGACCCAUUCGUUUUGUUGUUAAAGAAGAUGAAACUGUUUCAAAUGUUAUUGAUUAUGCUCUCAAAUGCUAUGCUCGUGAAGGCAGGCUUCCACUACUCGGUUCUGAUUCCAGCUUUUUCCUUCUCUACUCUCCUUACUAUGCUGUUGAAGGUGAGAUUUGAGUUUUUUUUACUACCCUAUGUGUUUUGCUCAUUAAUGGCUUUGAUUAUUUUACUUAACAUUUUGAUCAUUUCAGCAUUUAAUCCAUGGGGAAAGAUUGGUUCAACCGGAUUAAGGAACUUUGUUCUGUCUAAGAACCUUGGAGGCUCUGUGGACACAACAACAACAAUCAGGAAGACCUCUGGGAAAUGGAAGGCAUGGCUCAACAAGUCUCUAGGCCUUAUGGUUCCUUCUCACUAGAUCAUAGGAUCUCUGCACUUCUCUUUUUGGUUUUCUUGUCAGAGGAAUAAGCAUCACAAACACUUGUGCUUUGGUUUUUUUGUUGUAUUUUGCUACACUAAUAAAUGAAAUGAGGUUCGAUAGAAUGAAUAUAUGUUCUUUAACAUGUUACAUGUUUAUCUUUUCUACAUAGUUUCGGGUCUGGGACCAACAAUGCAAAGCAUCAUAGGAAUAUAUGUUCUUUAACAUGUUCUGCUGUAUUUUGCAACACAAUAACAUGGAUUGAGAUUUGAUAGACUGAAAUAACUGUUUAGCUAUAUGAUAAAAGGAAAGCAUCAAAGGAACAUAUGUCUAAUGUGAGAAUCUCAUAUCUUUCUCGAUCAUUUAAUAUGUUUUCUAGCAGUUAUUGAUUCUGAUCAUGCUUCUUCGUUGUCACCUCUCACUUGCUCCUUAUCUAUGCACCGUCUCUUGAGCGAUUCAGCAGAAGAAGAAGGUCCUCCAAAUUCAUGUGCAUCACUCCAUUAGCAUCUGGUCCCAAACGAGAGACUCGUGAUGCUGGGGCAGUCUCCAUUACUAAAAGAAACAAAGACCAAUGUCAUUCUUCAACUUUUAGGAGAGCACACAGUGAGAGAAAAAAGAUAAGUUUAAUUACAGCUUUGAUCAGGAGGAGGACAUGUACGUUGUUGCUCUUGCUUUUUCACAUUUAUAUCAUUUAAGCUCCUCAGUAUGAGUGUCUUACUGACCACUGAUGUCGAAGCUGCCUUAUCCUGUUUAACUCUCUCUCUCUCAGAAGACUUACAAGAUCUAGUUUCGGUUGUGAUCUGAGCAGUAGCCGUUACUUCUUCAUCAGUCCCAAGACAAAACGAACAAAGAAAAAAGAAACUUUUAAUCAGAUAAUGUCUUGCGUGACAAGGAAGCUAGGGCUUGUCUAGGUUUCUAAUUGCUUACUUGGUGCUUCUUGUUCACGUAACUUCCGCUUAUUCUCGCAAGCUUCAUAGUAGGAUCUGAAGUUAUCUUGAUAGCCUUGUUCAAGACGAUCCCAAACUACAAAAAAAAAGUAUUUUAUAUUUCAAAUUACUGAAACGUUUUGCCUCAAUACCCGUUAAUGGUUCUGUUAAAAAAGAAAUCUACUUAAAAAACCUGUUUUGGUCGAUUCAGGUGGGAUCCGAUACAGAUCCGAUAGAUGUUUUACAGUUUCUUCCUUGCUCUUGUAAUCACGCAUACACUCCAUGAUCCUUCCAUGAACCUGAAACAGAGCAGAGAGUAAGAAAUUAUAAUUUAACUUCUAACUUGAUUGAUAUGAAAUGAACUGAUGGAAUCUUACGUAAUAUGAGAACUCCUCCACGCUCUUAAAACCUCUAGGGACGAAGGCAUCACCACCGUUAGAACCUUGAGGUGCUUGUGAUGUUGCAUCAUCAUCAUCGUCUCUCUGGAUAUUAGAGCGACGGUGUUGAUCUUUCUCUCUUUUAUCCCUGAAAAACCUCGGUAUAAGUUUGUAGCUCUCUAUUCUUGAAGCUUCACGGAUCUUCCGAUAAGUCUCGCAAGAUUUAUAGUGGGAUCUGAAACUCUCUGGAUACUUUGCUUCAAGAAGAUCCCAAACUACCAAAAUAAAAGAUUUCGAGUUACUCAAACGUUUUGCCUUAAGACACAUUGAUGAUGAUUCGGUGCGAAAAAGCAAAAGGAGUCUACGUAUACGUACGUACCUAUGCUGGUCAUGACAUGUGGGAUUUGAAACUGAUCCGUUAGAUGUUGCAUAGUUUCUUCCUUGCUCUUAUAGUCUUUCAUGCAUUCUUUGAUUCUGUGAUGAAUCUGAAAAAGAGAGAGUGACUAUAGUGAAAAGGUUUCGUGACUCCUACUUUUGGUUCUUGGAUUGAUGAAAAAUCUUACGUAUGCCGAGAACUCCUCCAUGCUCUUACAACCGCCUGGAAGAGGAAGAUCUUCCAUUCUCUGCGAUCUUUUCUUGAAGAAUUGUUCGAUCUGAGUCGUGAGUUCUUGGAGAAGAGAAGAGAGAUUCUGAUUAACAAUAAGUGGUAGAGAGGGAGAGAGAAAGAAGGCGGAAGGUUGUUAUUUGAGGCUUUUUAUGUCUCGGCUCAUUUGUAACUGAAACACUACACUAACCGUAGUUCGCAAGAAAGUAUCGUUAAUCUCGGCAAGUAAAAUGGCUACAAUUUCAACUCCACCAUUUGCCUUUUUGUUUUAGGGGGUGUUACUGGUUUGGGAAGUUUAAUGGAAUUGAAUAUAACUGUAAUUAGGAUUCUUUUAAUAGAUAUGAGUGGAUUCUUUAAACGAAAACUGAUUAAAAGUAAUACAUCGAAUCUAAAUCAACUAUCUAAAAUUCAACCCAAAUACUUUUUGUAUUUGAAUUUUGUUUCCAUUUUAUUUUAUAUACACUAAAUUUUGUGUUAUCUGUUAAUGAUCCAAAAUCAAUAAUUUAUAAUUCACUGCAAAUAAUGUAUAUAGUGUAGUUGGAAUUUUGUUUCGAUUUUCUUUUACAUACAUUAUGAUGAUAACAGUAACGAAUGGACAUAUCAUCUUUUAAGUUACGAAAGUCUCAUCAGAUUAUUAAGAAAGCUACCCAAUGUACAAGAACUAACAAUUAAGAAAACGUGUAGCUUGAGUGGUGCAUGAAAAGAGUGGUAAACAUAUUGACUUCGUGAAUUCGACAUGUGUAUUUUCAGUGAUUUUUUACCUAUUCAGUGGAUUGAUAUUACUAUUAGUGUUUGGCUUUCGAAUAUCUUUUGGAUCCUAUUUUUUUGUAAUAAAUGAAUUCAUUUUCUUAACUAUACUAGAGUUUUAUAAAUAUCGAUGUCGAUUUGUAAAUAAUAAUAUAGUUUGAAUAGAUUUUUUUGGUUUGAUAUAUUUUACGAUAAUUUGGAUUCAAAUAUUUUAAAAUCGGAUUAAAAUAAAUAUAGAAUUAAGUGUUUGAAGUAUUUAUUUAAGUUUUUAGUAUUUAUUUUUAUUAUUAAUUCAGAAUUUCAUACUGAAAAUUUUCAUGAGUUUUCAAGAUUUUCACGUUUUUUAUUUUUUUGUAUAUUCGUUCAAAUUCUGAUAAAAUUCAGAAAAUAUUGUUAUUCAAAAUACCAUUUUAUAUCAUUUAUUUGAGUAUUUAUUUAGUUUGAAUGUGAUUCAGUCUCAACUUUUCUAUUUGGAUUUGGAAUAAAGUUAUAGACCUAACUGGUUUCAUUGUUGAUACCAAGGGCAACAUUAUAAUUUAGGUUCUUAAAAAAAGAGAAAUUGUCAAAAAUAUCAUAUAUAUAGUACCAUUUUUCAUAUUUACACUAAUCACUUUUACCUUCACUUUUAAUGAAAGUUAAAAAAAAUUAUUAACCUUUGGUUUAACUAAUAUAGACUUAGGGUUUAAAAUUGAGGGGUGGGAUUGGGUUUUUGAAAUUUAGGAUUCUAAUAAAUAUUUAAAAAAACAUUUAAAAAUGUUUAAAAAAAAUAGUUUUAAAAAUAGUUUUCGAUUUUUAAAAAUAAAUUUUGAAAAAUUUCAAAUUUGAAAAGUAUAAUUCGAAAAUAUAAAUUUUUGCCAUUUAAUGAAAAUGGUAUUUUUGAAAAUGUCUUUAGUGGUGGUAAAGAUGAAUAAUAGUACCAUAUGAAAGUGGUAACCAUCAAAUUUUCUUAGAAAAAAAUCCUAACAUCCAAAUAUUAUUAGUUUAAUAUAUUAUAAGUAAAUAACUAGAUUUUAAUUAAAAUUAAACAGUCAAACUAACUGGAUGUUGUCAAGCGGAGGAAGAGGUUUCUAUGAAUAUCUUUCAGAGUCUGAUUUUAGAACUGACGGCUACCUUUUCCUCUAAUUUUGUAUUUUUUUAUUUUUCUAAAAUCAUUAGGUACUUAUUAGAUCUUAUUAUUGGAGAUGCUCUCAGUAAUACUAUUAGUGUGUUGACAAAAAAAAAGUAAUAUUCUCUCCGUUUUAAAAAUAUAUAUUUUUUCGAAGAGAAAAAAUUAUUUCAGAAAGAUAUAUGUUUUACAUUUUCAAUUCAUAAAUUAAUUGUAAAGUGUAAACUUCAAAAAAACAUAAUAGUGUUUAUAAAAAAAAUUAUUAGUUAAAAGUUGUGGGAAAUAGUUGUUAAAAUAAAAUAAUGGAUUAGUAUCUAAAAUCUGAUAUGUUUUUUUAAUAAAUGUAAAAAAAUCUAAAAGAUACAUCUUUCUGAAACGGAGAGAAUAUUAUUAGUGUAUCAAAAAUGAAUGACAUACAUUGAAAAAGUAAAUAUGAACUUUUUAGAAACAAAUUUUUUUUCUAAAACAUGAAUCAUUCUAAAACGAAGGGAAUAAAAAAUUGACAAAUAGAUAGGUCUGCAAAUAGAGGUGCUGUUCUCCAACGUCAAAAUUAUUGAUGACACUAUUUUGAGUCUCACUGAUUGAUGACUUUUUUUGUCAACACGGAUUGAUGACUAAUACUGUAUAACCGUAUUAAACACCCAAUUAAUUUUGGUCAAAAACUAUAUGAUAAAAGAAAAAGUAAUAAAUGAAAUUAUUAUUAAAUGGAUAUGUUCGUCCGAAAAAAGUAAAAAAUUACUAAUAAAGAGCCGUACGGAUAUUGGAUAAAUCAGAAUUAGGUAGAUAAAAAUCGAAUGUCACAUUCAAUUCAUUUAACUAUUGCUUCACUGCUUAUCUUUUUAAUUUAACUUUUUCAUAACUAUUUAUAGGUUUUACAUUCUCUAAAAAGCAUCUCUCUUACAGAACGAACCAUGUCGUCAAAGUUAGAAAAAUAUGAUGGUAUUUUGAUAGUUUUCCAAACACUGAAGUUAAACAAUAAAGAAAGAAUAUUAUUGAUCAUAAAAUAUUUACCUUUAACAAAAAAACUAAAAAAAGUUUAAUUGGAUUCUGAAAGAAUGUAAUUUUCAACUAUAGAGAGAAGAACGAAAGUAAUAAUUUGCUUUAAAUCAGUUUCAAACAAUUAUAAAACAAAAUCGUGAAUUUUUUUUCUUUUUAACAUAUUUUAAAUCGUGAACAAAAUUGAAAUGAAGAGAAAACGGCUAAGUGUCACACACAAAUAUUUAUCCUGAGAAAACUAAAGAGUAAGGAUAAAAAAUUCUUAAAAAUAAAUAACGUUUGUUGGGAAUUUGGGAUAUAUAAAGCCUGGAAUGUGUUCACAUGUAAUUAAGCCAUCUCACCAUGUUAUAAACUUUUGUAUAAAUGUAACCUUAUAAUAUCGUGGUCUCAAAAAGUUAGAAAUCAAAGUUGACAAUAAACUGAUAAAUAUAAAGGUGAGUAAUAUAAUUUCGGUUUGAUUUUCAGUGCCUCGUUUGAUAUAUAAAUCGAAGUAAAACAAUGAAAACGACUUAGCAUUAUAUAAUCUGGUCCGCCUACUUUCCCAAAUACAAUUCUGACGUGAUACAAAGGAAUAUAUAUAACUUUUUAAUGCAGAGUCGGUCAUUUUAGUGUAAACUAGGGAAGCUAUACAUAGGUUUCCCUAAAGAAAAACUGUUUCUCUCUCUCCUUCUGCUCUGUCCUCUCUCUAAAAAUCAGACACAGAGGAAGGAUUGAGAUGAAAUCUCAACCGGAGCUUCUACCAAAUUCAUCUUCGGUUAGCAAGCUUGUUUCUGGGAAGCGGUGAUUCUUCUACACCGCUAUCGCCAGCUUUGUUUCCGGGAAACGGUGGCUCUACAGCACCGUUUUCGCCGGCUUUCGUCCCCGGGAAAGCGGUGACUCUGAUAGCACUGUCAUUUCGCCGGCGUCUUCUCUGGUUUGUUCCGGAACUAGUUCAUGAUCUACGCUUUUGGGUUUGCUAUGUCCAAUCGACUCUCGAUCUGAAAAUCGUGUGGAUUUUUUGGAUCGAUCGUAGAUGAUUGAUGUCUUAUUGGAGUGUAGAUCGAUGGUUGGAGAUCUUUAGUUUUAUCGGUUUGGCCUCUAUGGUGGAGUUUGGUCGCGUCGUUUCUCUGACUCCGGCGUAGUUCUUCUCGAGUUAGUCUCGAUGUAGCUCUCCGUUGAAGAGUCCAGGCGAAACAGAUGGGUGAGAUGGUCUCAGUUUCCGGCGUGCUCCGUCGAAACUAUAGGUGGUUUCGUCUUCGCCGGCGAUGUCUUCUCGGUGCCGGUCGCGGUGGUGUGACCAGGUGACGCGUGUUCUCGAAAGGGGUGGGUUUCAACACGUGGACGGGCAUGCGAGCUUUGUUGGACGCGUGUUUAGCCGUUUGGUUUGUGGGCUUGUGCUUUAGGCCCGGGUUUAGUUUAUGUGAGCCCAUUGUGUUGGGCUUUAUGUUUUAUGUUUGUUGGAUCAUGGGCUUAGACCCAUUAAUAAAAUAAAAGAUGGAAAAAAAAAAAAACUAGGGAAGCUAUACAGAACUAGAAAUAUAUAAUUGUGUACCGAUCUUGAAAUAGAUAAAUGGGAUUAUCUAAAAUAAUUAUACUUUAUGUUAUACUUUAGGUCCGGUCCGACUAUUUUUAUGUAAUCAUUAAUCAUGCACUGUUUUAAUAGUAAGCUAUACCAAUAAAGAAUACUUUUAUCAGUAUUGAGUCUGAAAAUUAGUAAUUAACAUUUAACAAUCAAAUACACUUUCUUAGCUGACAAAAUAAUACCUGAGUUUUAAAACUAGUAAAGGGAGGGCCUCGUGGGUUUAGGCGGGUGCCCCCGGUCGUCGGAUCCCCACGGUUAAAAAAAAAAAAAAAAAAUAUAUUCGAGAGGACAAUGAUCGAUUAAUAUAUAGACCUUGUAUUUGUAAUAUAAUAUUGGAACUCGAUGUGAUAGAAGAAGAAAGAAAGAAAAAACUGUGAAAAGGAGAACUCGAUGGGGGUCAGAGAGAAUUUGCACACAUGCAAGUUGGCAACUUGGUAGUUAAAAACAUUUCAUGCAUGUGGGACCUUCCUUCGUAUCAAACUGAAAUAAAUUAAAAAAAAAAAAAAAAAGAUUAAUAACACAACAUCAGCGAAAGUUAUAUCGGCUAUUAUAGUAUUAUUCAUCGUUAAUAAAGAUAAUUGUGCAACUAAUUUUUGAAAUAAUUAUAUGCGUUGGUUCGAUCCUUUUGAAACUGGCUGGCGUGUGGGCAUUUACUUAUUUCUGGAGCCUUACUUUACUAAUCAUAUACCUAACAAAAAUAACUCGCAACAUUUUUUUUUUUUUGCUAAACAACUCGCAACAUUUUGAGUAUAUUUUAAGAACAUCGAGCUCAUAAUGCGUCGUCACAUUUUAAAUAAUUAUAAUCACGUCUUAUCUUUUCGAUUGUUCCGGCGGUUUAAUAUAAUAUUAUGUACUUUCAACAUAAACUAUGUAUCUACCAGAUUUUAGAUUUCUAAAAGAUACAUGUUUUUUUAGCAACUUCUAAAAGAUACAUGUAGAUGUAGGCAGAACACAUAAACAGAUCUUAAUAUAUAUCCCGUAUGUCUAUGUACGAUAGUUUGUUUAUUCUUUAUAUAUAUAAAGAAAAAGAAACAAGUUAAUAAGGUACAGAGCCAUGCAAAAAAAAUUGUUUUUACAUUAUAAAAGAUUAAAAACAUCGGAUUCAAUUGUUGUUUUUUUUAUCACAACAAGAGUACAAAGAAAGAUCUCAUUACGAAUCCGAGAAUGACGAGAUUUUAGUGUCUGUGUUAACAUAUGAGAAAACAUGAUUUCUUGUUCGAGCAUUCCUUGCAAUGAAGUUUGCUUGAGUGUUACUAGAUCUGGGUUGAUAAACCACUUUUCCGCUUUGAUAAAACGCCCAAAGAGAUUUAAACUCGGUAAAUUCAGCUGCAAAAGCUGGUCAUUCUUCUGGUGUUGUGAUCAUUUUGACUAAUUCUUGGAAAUCAGUAACAAAGUAACCGCAGAACCGCUGAUGGUGAGAUAAACAUUUCAAUGCUCAUACUAAGCUCUUUAGCUCUGUAUGUAGUGACAAAAUUAUCUUAUGGUAACCUUGAAGGCUGAGAUCUAUUGAUCCAUCUUGGAGUUGUAAAAGGUAUCCUACUCCAAUAGUGAUUUUGUCAUUUUUCCAUGAUCCAUUUACCCGGCAAGUAAAUAUAGGUAGGUCUGGAGGCUUUUUGGUAUGAGUAUUGUGGCACUGUUGCCUGGUUCGGUCUUUUCAUUGGCCAGGAACCAUGCAUUACACUCCUUUAAUACUAAAUCUGUUGUAUCCACUAGUGAAAAAUCUCUACCAUUAUAGAGUUUUUCAUUUAGUGAUUUCCAUAUAUACCAAAUUGGCGAAAUACUCUAGUUAAUUCUUCUAUAUUUCCGCCAAUAUUAGUUCUUACGAGCAGAUAGUUUAUAUUGGUGCAGAGAUUCUCUGAAGAAAAUAGCUCUGGCGCGGAAGAUCCAAUUGUUGUUUUGUAGAUCAAAUUAAUAUUGCUGUUAAAAAUAUUCAAUGAACAGACAUGAAAUGUGGUAUUGCGACCAGAGCCAAUUAGAAAUUAGUCAUAUGUAAGCAAAAAAAAUAAAAAAUCGUUACAUGAAACACUACAUUAAUAAAAUUUCAAAAAGUUUUUUUUUAUGAAAGUAUCCCUUAGUAGUUAGCACUCUUUGUAAUUAAUAAAUAUAUCUCGCUCUCAUUCCUUUUUCUUUAUCAACUUUACAUUUAAAACUCAUUAACAGUUUAUUAAUAUCUAAUAUCACUAGCUAGGAGUUUUGAUUUACUGUUCACACAUUGUGAAGUUAACAUAAUUUUUUCGGCCAUUUACUUUGUUAUUUUACCAAUAAAUUGUGAGCAAACUUAGAUUUAUUAUGGAGCUGGUUAUCUGGGAUAUCUGGGAACUUCCUAGAAGGUGCGAUUUGGGCGUUUAGGGUUUCCGGAGCUCUCCGUCGUUAGUUGGCCUCACGCCGGCUAGCGAGAAGUCAUCCCGCGUCGCUCUCUCUCAAUGUCGAUGCUUGUCUCCGCUCCUUCUUCGAGCUCUCCUAUUGAUCCAGGAGGGGCCUCACCAGCGAGAGUCUCAAAUCGCGAGAAUCAGCUCCUUAACCGCGAUUUGGAGAAGAAGCUCCAGUCUCCUUCGAUUCCAGCGUCGAUUCCAGCCGCGAAGGUUCCCUCGUACGAGGCGAGGUUCAAAUCGUCCCUAAGGAAUCUCCGUAAGAUCUCAGAUCCGUCGUUUUUAGAGGCCGAGACGCCGGUAAUCCAAGCGCCGGAGUCUGUGCUUCUCAGAACCUCAGAACUUUGGAAAGACCAUGUGGUGGCUCACUUUCAUGGUCGUCGUCCUUCUGCAUCAAAGAUUAUUACCGAUUUGAACCCAGUUUGAGGAAAGUUCGGUAGUAUUACUGUCUGAACGGUCUCUGAUACCUGCGUCUUGAUUUACAUCCCCUCUGUGCAGACUAGAGAAUGGGUGUUGCAAGUGGGUUACUGGCAGGCUGAUAGGUGUGCCUUCUCGGUCUAUCCUUGGACAGCUGAUGGGAAUCUGGCUGCUCAGGAGUUGCUCUUUGCGCCGACGUGGGUAGUUCUGAAGAACAUCCCUCCUCAGUUAUACUCUUUGGAUGGUAUCAGCGUAGUUGCUAGCGGUAUAGGAGAUCCACUUCACACUGAGAAGUCUCGUCUAGACCCCUACCACUUCGGUGAUACUAAGGUCAAGGUGGAGAUUGAUCUCUCAAAAACUCCUCCGGAGGUUGUAGAAGUCAGAGAUACCCAAGGGAACUCAGUUAGAGUCAAUGUGGAGUACCCUAGUCUCCCUCCUAAGUGUCUGAAUUGUGGAAAGUUCGGUCAUUUGAUGAACCGGUGUAACAAAGCUCCACGGCAGAGGUUGCAGAGUCAGAAGAAAGGGAAGGUGAUCAGUGUUGUGAAGUCUGGCUCAGAGGUUUCGCUAGCAAAUGAGUCCCAGGAAGGGGAGAAAGAAGCAAGUGCAUCGAAGGAUGAGGUUGGUCAGGAGCAUAAGAGUAAGGCUAAGUCUAGGCCCCGCAAGAGGUCCAGGUCCAGAGCGCGAGCUAGAGCUAGAGCGUUAAGUUCCCCUCCGGAAGAUAGUGUGAGAGUGGAGGUAGUAGAGUCAAAAAAUGCUCUAGAUGUGAAGGUGCAGGACUCCGCAUCGUUGAUUCGGGAGAAGGACUCGACGGUGGUGGAGUCAUCUCCGGUUGCGGGUUCAGUUGAGGAAGGUUCUCAGUUGGAGGAAGGGGAGAUUAGUGGGGAAGAAGUGGAGGAUUUGGUUCAGGGUUCGAAGGAGAGUCAGAACGAGAUGUAUGUUCAGGAGGAGGAAAAGUCUAUGUGGCUCACUAAGCACUCGAAGAAUUUUCGAAGAGCGCUGAGACAGCAUAAACUUUGGGAAGCUUCGGGAGCAGUGGGAAAGGAAAUCAGCGAGGCUUCUUGAUCGAGUUUUCUCCACCGGGAGGAAGCUUGAAGCUUGAUCGGUCGGGAAUAUCGUAUUCAACUGUGUAUAUAUGAAGAUUUUUAGUUGGAACAUUAGAGGUAUUAAUGGAGUUGGUCGACAAAGGGUAGUUUGUAGUUGGCUUCAGAGUCUGGGCUCGUCAGUGGGAGCUUUUUUAGAGACUCAUGUGCAGGAAGAGAACUUUCUUAGUGUUUUGGGAGCGGUGGCUCAUGGUUGGAGGUUUGAUAAUAAUUAUUCAAAGGCUGCAGGAGGGAGAAUUUGGCUUGUGUGGAACCCGUCUUUGUCAGUUGUGGUCUAUUUGAAAACGGAUCAGUUGAUUCUUUGUGGAGUGAUCGAUCCAGCUUCUGGUACGGAGUGUACGGUGGCCUUUGUGUAUGCGCAUAAUACGGAAGCUGAGAGGAGGAGUUUGUGGAGGGAGUUAGUCACUAUUGCUAAUAAUCUGUUGGUAGCAGCUUCACCCCUAGUAGUGCUUGGUGACUUUAAUCAGAUACUAACGGCGGAGGAACAUUUUUCUUUGCUACCUUAUGAUCUUCCGGUCAGAGGUAUGGAAGAGUUCCGGCAGUGUUUGGAAGAAAGCAACUUGACAAAUAUGGAUAUUUGAGGCACCUUCUUUUCCUGGUCUAAUAUGCGUCCAGAGGAUCCAAUCUUGAGGAAGCUUGACAGGGUCCUGUGCAGUGAGCUUUGAAGGGAUAGAUACCCAGAAGCUGUGAGUGUGUUUGAAGCGCCGGGAGAUUCUGAUCACUCUCCAGCAGUGGUGUCUUUCUCUGAAUUGUCUUCGGCCAGGAAAUGCAGUUUCAAGUACUUCUCUUUCCUUUCCUCCCAUCCUAGGUUCCUCGCGGAGAUUCUUAAGACCUGGGAAGAGGAUAUUCCGGUAGGCUCCAAGCUUUUCUCGCUUGGCCAGAGAUUGAAGAAAACCAAAGCAACUUGUAGAAGAUUGAAUAAGGAGGGCUUUGGUAAUAUCUAGCAGAAAGCGAAAGAAGCUCUAGAGGCAUUGAAAGCGAUCCAGCUCCAAAUGGUAACGGCGCCCUCAAAUUCUUUGUUCCGACAAGAGUUUGUUGCUAGGAAGAACUGGCAAUUCUUUGAAGCAGCCCAUGAGAUCUUUUUCAGCAGAAAUGCGAGAAUAACAUGGUUAGAUUGCGGGGAUGCUAACACAAAGUUCUUCUUCAAAGCGGUGAUUGCUCAUCAAAUGAGGAAUUGUAUCAGUUAUUUGAUGGAUGGAGGGAAUAACAGGGUUUUUAAUCAAGCCCAGAUUAAGGAGAUGGUGGUGGCAUAUUUUCAAAACCUCUUGGGGUCUGUAGAUGGGAAUUUGGAGGAGAUUUUUAAGGUGGAGCUGAGAGGUCUGCUUGCAUAUAGGUGUUCGCAGGAGAUAUCCGACAAAUUGAUAUGCAUUCCGACGGAGGAUGAGAUUAAAGAAGUCUUGUUUGCAAUGCCAAAGAAUAAAGCUCCAGGCCCUGACGGAUAUUCGGCAGAAUUCUUUUGGGAGGCUUGGGAAGUUGUUGGUAAGGAUACAAUUGAGGCAAUAAGAGAGUUCUUUACUGGUGGUCGUUUGCUGAGACAGUUCAAUACCACAACGAUUUCCCUCAUUCCUAAGGAGAUAGGUGCGGAUCGUCUUAACCAAUUUCGCCCGAUCUCCUUAUGUUCAACAGUCUACAAGGUAAUGGCUAGACUCAUUAAGAGGAAACUGAAGCUUUGUCUCUCUGAGAUAGUGCAAAGAAAUAAGGUUGGCUUUAUUCAGGAAAUGCUGCUAUGUGAGAAUGUCAUGCUUGCUACUGAGUUAGUUAAAGACUUCAACGCUCAAGGUCCAACAACAAGGGGUUGCCUGAAGAUAGACAUCUCUAAAGCUUACGACAACCUUAGCUGGGACUUUCUUUUCAAGGUUCUGAGUGCCUUUGAUUUGCCUAGUAAGUUUAUUGAGUGGAUCAAAGAAUGCGUAACCACUCCCUCUUAUAGCAUUGCCAUCAAUGGAGAACUUCAGGGGUUCUUCCCGGGGAAGAAGGGUCUUAGACAUGAGGAUCCUAUCUCGUCUCUGCUGUCUAAGAUGCUAGAUAAAGGUGCUUUGGAUGGUACUUUUCGUUUGCACCCGGAGUGUGAAUCACCAUUGAUCACACAUUUGAGUUUUGCGGAUGAUGUUCUGAUUUUCUUCGACGGCUCAGCAGAUUCUCUAAGGGGUACUCUGAGCAUCCUAGAGGAGUUUCGUUUGGUGUCAGGGCUGAGAAUCAACAGACAAAAAUCUGAGUUGCUACUCGAUGGAGGUAGUCCGAGUAGAUGUCGUGAUCUGGCAGCUGAGAUGGGGAUUGUACAAGGGGCUCUUCCGCUGCGAUACCUGGGUGUUCCUUUGUCUCCUAAGAAAAUGACUCGGUCGGAUUUCCAGCCUUUGUUGGAUAAAAUUGCUGCGAGAUUCAGCUCUUGGACAGUUAAACAUCUGUCCUUUGCGGGUAGGUUUCAGCUUAUCCAAGGGGUGAUCUAUUCGACGAUCUCAUUCUGGGCGUCUAUGUUCAUCAUUCCCUCAGAGUGUGUGAGUAUUCUGGAGCGUAUGUGUGGAGCUUUUCUGUGGAAUGUUGCACCAAACUCGGCCAGAGGGGCUAAGAUUGCCUAGGACUCAGUCUGCACGCCAAAGGAAGUGGGAGGUUUGGGUCUAAAGAGAUUAGCGGACUGGAACAAAGUGUUGGGUCUGAAGCUAAUCUGGCUUAUGUUCACAGCUGGAGGUUCUUUGUGGGUUUUGUGGGUGCGCAGACACUUGAUUAGGAAUGAUAAUUUUUGGGUGUUGAAUCCUACUCAUAGAGGAAGUUGGAUAUGGAGAGCUAUAUGUAAGUUGAGACCUCUGGCGAGACCUAUGGUGAUUUGUGAAGUGGGUUCUGACAGCUCUGCUAGCUUUUGGUUUGAUAAUUGGACCUCAGCUGGACCCUUUAUCGAGUUGGUGGGGGAGAGGGGACCUCUAGUUACUGGCAUGAGUAUUGAUGCAGCGGUUACUGAUGCUUUAACAAAUGAAGGAUGGAGGCUAGAUCGAAGUAGAAGCAGGAGUCCUAUAAUUUCCCUAGUGAGGGCAUGUCUGCCUAAUGCGCAGGAAAUUUUGAGCUCUGAAGUGGAUGAUAGAUAUGCUUGGUAUCCGCAGAUUGGUCGGGGAAACGGGCGUUUCUCAGCCAGCGAAACAUGGAGAGUGCUGCACCCUUAUCUGACGCAAAUCCCAUGGCAUAAGGCAGUGUGGUUUGCAGGAAGAAUACCGAAGCAUGCUUUCAUUACUUGGAUUGCAGCUAGAGACAGAAUGGUUACUAGAAACAGAUUUCUAAGUUGGGGAUUGUAUGUUCCUUCGAGGUGUGUUCUUUGUUCGGGGUUUGACGAGAACAGACAACACUUGUUAUUUGAUUGUGGGUACAGUAGCCAGAUCUGGUCCUUCUUUAUAUCUAGGUUGCAGCUGACUCCUCCGCGGGGGUUUGAAAAGGUGCUGGUUUGGCUGAAAGCUCCAGCGAGAGACGGUAAUGUGACUUUGAUUGUCAGACUAAUUCAUCAAGCGGUUUUGUAUCUGAUCUGGAAGGAGAAGAAUACGCGCAUUCACUCAGCUGUGGAGAAGCCUCCAGGCACUCUGAUAGCAGAGACUCAGCAAACAAUAAAACUCAGGUUGGACCAUUUGGCUCGUAGACAGGUUGUUACUCCGGGUCAUCUCUCUAUUCUUGCAGCUUGGCGAACUUUUUUUGUAGCGUAGGAGUCUUAGAAGCUUGCAGUACGAUGCGGCUUUGGUUCCACUUGCUUUUAGUUGUGAUAGCUUGAGCAUGAAUAAACUGGAGUUUUUUUAAGAAAAAGAAAAAGGAAAAAAGGAUUAUUAUAAAAUAUAUAAUAUUUAGUAAAUACACACUCUGCAUAUUGACUUAUCCCCAAAAAAGCAUAUAUUAAAAAUGACCUAACAAAACGAUUUAAAAUUUUAAACAGGUGAAAUUAAAUAAAUAAAAGGUAAAACGGUUCGAUCCAGGUCGGCUUGGGUCUGGUCCGAACAUAUGUCAUCACCGGUCCACUGAUUUAAGCCCAAAUAACCGAGCUAACUCCACCUUACCAACACCGUCGGCUGCGAGUCAACUCACCACACAACCACAGUCGACUUCGACUCAAAUCACCAAUACCACCAUCGUCGACAUCGUGCCAACUCAGUGCACAGCCGAGAGCUUCCAAGCGGAGGUGGUUAUGAGCGGUCGAGUGUGCCAACUCAACAUCAAACACCCAUUAUUCUCCUCCACACGAUAACCUUCGCCUCCAUUAAACAAAGCCAAAAGCGUACUCGCUUGCUUAAACGCGUUAGACCCGAGAUGCGCCGGCGCAAAACCGGACGAACCGAACCGGUUCGACCAUUGACUCAGCGUCUCAUGUCUCUCGACACGGUCCGGACCUUCGCAAGCCACCAGAUUGCAAAUCUGUUUCCCUAAGUAAACUUCCGACAUGACUUUGUCUUGGCUACUCGGAGCUCCUUCCAAGGAAUCAAACAAGGUCGAAUAGUAAUGCAGCGAUUCAGUAAACCGGUCUAAGAAAACCGGACCGUUAUGAUUCGAUUCUUGCUCAACCACCGUGAAAAUCACCGGUUUAAUCUGUUUCACAACGCCGAAGACUUUCUCUAUCCCACCGGGACGGCCUAGGAGCUUGUGGAGCUCGAAAACGGAGUUAACCGCCACAGAUUCGGUUUCGCUCGGUCUAAGCUCAAGCAUCGACGCGUCGAGAUCGGCUAAGCUGUUAGCAACAAAGCCACGGUACUCAAACUCGACGUGAAUCGCCUCUGCGAGCUGAGCCAACUUACAUCCAACUUCGUGGAGAUGAUCGGAGUUAUCCGCCGCGGGAGGACCAAUUCCGGUUAACCUGAAACUCGGAGGACCUCCUUCUGGGCUUGCAUAAGCGCCGGCCAUUGCAGGCCUUGAUUCAUGGAGAAGUCGAUGACGUGGACUCUCUUCUUCCCUUCGAAAGCCUCGAGGAUGGCUUGAUUCGCCGUGAAGUGAGCGAACUUGAGGUAAGGGCACGUCUCGUAGAAGUGCAUCUGGAGCGUGUCCGAGAGAGAGUGAUCGAUCUGAGUCUGCGGCGGAGAGAGGCGGUAGAUCCGCCGCGCGAGAGCUUCGGCGAAGUACGUGGCGACCUUCCUCAUGGCUCCGGCUUGAGACACGGCCAAGAACCCAAUCUGCUUAACGAGAGCCUCCGCUAGAGUCAAGUUGCUGCUCUGCACGGCUUCCGCACAGGCCAUAAGCGCGUGGACUAGACGCACGCCGUUGUCCUGCGAGUCGACCAGGAUUAAAGGACGAGUUGACUCGCUCGCGGUUGUUGUGGUAACCGUCGUUCCUAUAACUCCAGCAGGUGAUGGAGAUGUAACCAUCGAAUCAGGGCUCGAGCAUGGUUUCAACCGUUUAUUAUUCAACGAAUCGACGGCGAACUGAUUAGAUCCCCUGCAAAUCGCGCUUCCGGGAAUAGCUUUGAGGUCGUAAUCGCCGCCUCCGGCGAAGAACGAGUUAUUAUUAACCUCCGGGGAAGGAAGAAUCUGAUUCACACCACUAGACCCGGACGCAGCGGGUGGGUUAAGCUCCGUGAGCAUGUUAUCAAGCCAAGAGUAGAGCUCAGCAGGGUUGUAAUGAACAGUAUCCGUCGCGAGAUGAGCUAAACCGUCUUCUUGAACAUUACCCAUCAUUGUCUCAAGCUGCUCGAGUUUCAACGCAACCUCAGCCAUCUCCGACGACCUGACCUUGUAACCCAAGACUCCUAGAAGCUCGUCGUCUUCUUCUUCUUCCUUAACCAUCAUCAUCUUGUCUUUACCAAAAACCGCCGGGGAAGAAGUGGAAGAACCGGCGAUUGAUGUCCCGUGGUUGGGACCUUGGAACUGAUGAAGAUCUCUCUUCAUUUCUGAUCUGGUUAGAUAGUUAAUCUCUCAGAUCGGUCUGGUUUUGGGUUGUGGUCUUGGAUCUAGGGUUUGCUUUUUGAGUUUUUUUGGGGGAGGAAGAAGAGGAGCAUGUGACUAAUAAGGUGAAGAAUCUUAAGCAAUCGAGCAUUGGGUGGGGAUUGCUUUGUUUUUCACUGCGACUACCACUUCAAUGAUCAUACGAAUUAACAAUAAUACUAAAAGUAAUUGAUGUACAUUUUUAUUUAGAGAAAAAGACAAAAAUAGCACUAAAUCAAGUUUUUGUUUUCAAACUAGCAUUCAAGGUCAAAAGUCACAAAAAUAGCACUUAAUGUUUUAUCAAAAGUUACAAACUUAGGGUUUAGAGUUAAAGGGUGGGGUUUAAGAUUUAGGGUUUAGGGUUUAGGGUUUAGAGUUUAGAGUUUAGAGUUUAGAGUUUAGGGUUUAUGGUUUAGAGUUUAUGGUUUAGAGUUUAGGGUUUAGAGUUUAGGGUUUAGGGUUUAGGGUUUAAAAUUUAGGGUUUAGAGUUUAGAGUUUAGGGUUUAAGGUUUAGAGUUGAGAAAUGAGGUUUUGGGUUUAAGAUUUCAAAUUUUG
rnacentral:lncRNA from 1 species